rnacentral:lncRNA from 1 species
GGCUUUCAAUAAUUAUUCAAGUGAGUUGAGACUAGUUGUAAGUUUAUAACAACUUAAUAAACCUCUUAAAUAUAGUAGGAAUGUUAUCUCAAACUCAAGCCAUUUUGAUAUAAGUUUGUUUAAGUUGGUACUAUUUUGGAUUAAAUUAGUUUUCAUUUGGACAACUUAAAUGGGUUCAAAUAAUUUUGAAAUGGUUUAAGUUAUAAAUAUUUUUUUUUUAUUUUGAUGGUAAGAAAUAGUUUUAUAUUUAUAUUGUAAUAGGCCUAUUUUGCCCGGCCCGAGCUUAAAUCAACAAAAACAAAAAUCUAAAAAAAAUAACAAAAGUCCAUUAGUACAAGGUCCAAAUUACAAAACAGGCUACAGGCCCGAUACCCAAGUUACAAGCAUGGACUCAAAACUCACUACCCAAUUUUGCAAACUCUGAGCCCAGCCCGAAAACUUAACAUUUUCGGAGGAACCCUAGGGUUCCCCUCUCCAGCGUCGCAGCUCCCCCCUCGUGCCUCGAGCGCACCACUCGCUCCUUGGACCAAAACGGAAACCUGCCCCCGUUAACUCCUAGCAGACCUGCAAAGUAACCCAAAAAGAAGCAAAAACACAGCGAAAACGCUGCAGCAGAAGCAAGGCCGAAUAGUGAUAGAACAGUAACAAGUAUUUUGGCUAUAAAGCCACACAAAAAACGAUUGUCAAAAGGGGGAUUUUGGAAAUAAAAACUCGAUAUUCGAAAUAUAAAAAAAAAUCCGAUAGAAAUCGAAAUCAAAAAUAAUAAAAAGGUGGUUCCUUUAUUCGUUUUUGCUUUGAUUAUUCUGUUUGGAUUUUUCUUUUUCUUUUUUUCUCUUUUGUUUCCAUUUGAAACUACUACAAAAAUACGAUAAGGUGAAAGAUUUUACCUUUUUUUGGUGUUGAUAUUCUUCGGCUAUCGCUUCUCUGGUCUAAAAGCCAACGGAUCCUUAGGUGUUCGGUUAAGGUUGCAACGGAAGAAGUCAAAGGUCGGAAGUCAAUUGGUUUAGGGAUUUUGAAGGCCCUAAAUCUAUUUUAUAUGAAAGAAAUGAGGGUUAUAUCGGGCUUCGGGCAACAUUCCGGCCACCACCAAUGGUGGUUACCUUCGCUAGUACGAAGGGUGGCCGACGGAACUUAGCAAAGCCCUAAGUCCCUCUCUAAGAAAUUUGGGGAUGACCCUUUUGUUUUUUUAAGAAAAUACUGCAUAAAUGGUUUUUUUUUUUUGAGAAAUUUGGACUUUUUAAUAUGACCAUACGGUGCCGUUUAGGGAUAUAAGCCUAAAUGGAUAAAACGACGCCGUUUCACGCCAUACUCGCGCGACCCAACCCGAGUACUCUCAGGAUUUGCUCGUUUUUGCGGUGAAGGGGAUAUUUGCGGAUCCAGCCCCUCCGCUUUUGCGGCCUGUUGUAAUUCGGUCCUGCUUCUUUUUUUCUUUUCUUUUAAUCUUAUCUUGUAAUCUUUGUAGCAUUUAAUUUCGAUCCUUCUUGAAGUUAUGCGUUUUGGGGGGCGGGGAUAUUGCCCAUUUGGUCCCCCAUCUCAUUCGCAUAUUACAAUUUGGACCCAAUAUGUUAUUUUCAUUCCGUUUUGAUCCUUUUAAUUCUGUUUUUAUUUCGAUUCAAUCCUAGCCUAAUAGAUUUCAUUAUUUGUGUAUUCUUAUUUAUCUGUUUCCUUUUAAAUACUAAAACUUAAAUAAUAUUCAUAUGUAAUAUCUAUGUAUCUAUUCACUUAUUAUUCGUUUUCAUGUUUAGACUACAUUUGUCGAUUUAUUUAUUAUUUACAAUUUUUACCUUUAAAUUUCUAUUUAAUUUCAGCAUAGUCCUAGCCCGUUAAUUUAUUUAUUUAUUCGUUUAUUCAUUUUUUAAGAAUUGUUUUAUUAUCAUUAUUUUAAGUUUUUUUUCUUAUAUUAUUUAUUUAAAAACCAUUUUCUUAUUAUGUAUUUUAAGUCUUUACAUUUUUAAAACUAUUAUUCAUUUUAAGUUCUACAUAUGUUGUUUGUUCUAAACUAUUAUACAUAUUACUUAUUUUGAAAUUUUUUUUCUUAUAUCUUUUUAUUUUAAACUUUUAUAUGUGUAUAUUAUUUAUUUUAAAAAUUUCUUAUAUGUUAUUUUGUUAUACUAUUUUAGAUAAAAACUAUUUUAAAUUCUUUUAUUAUUUGUUGUAAACCUCUUAUUAUUAUUUAUCUUAAGAUUUCAUACAUUACUUAUAUUAAACUGUUUUUUAUAUUGUUUUUAUAUAUAUUAUUUAUUUUAAAUUCAUUUUUCACGUAUUAUUUAUUUUAGACUUUCUAUGUGUUCUUUUAAAUUGUUAUAUAUAUUAUUUAUUUUAAGAUUGCAUUAUUUUAUUUUUAAAUUACUUUAUGUAUUAAUUAUUUUAGAUUGUAUUAUACUAUUCACUUUAUUUUAUAAUCACUACAGGAAAACAGACUUUUAGCGGCGUUUUUUUUUCCUUUAGCGUCGUUUUUAAGCGCCGCUAAUACUUUUAGCGGUGUUUUCCCAAGCGCAGCAAAAAACGUCGCUAUAUGUAACGUCGCUAAAAUUAGCGGCGUUUGUUUGAAAAAAAUGCCACUAAAGAUCAUGACUUUUAGCGGCGUUUUUUAAAAAAGUACCGUUAAAAAUCCUAGUCUUUAGCGUCGCUUUACCCAAAAAAAGCCGCUAAAGGUAAUGAAAUUUUAAAAAAUAUAUUAUAAAAAUCAUGAAAAAUAUAAAAAAUUUAAAAUUCAUUAUCAAAAUAUUGAGAAGAAUAAUAUCCAUGAUAUAAAUAUAAAUUUUUUUUAUUAAAAUAAAAAUAAAAAUUUAUAAUCAAAACUAAAAUAAAUAAUAAAAAUUAGAUUAAAUAUAAAGAUAUCAUAACCAUGUAAAAUAUAAGAUAUUAUCAUCAAGAUUUACAUCCUCAUCUUGCUCAAAUUUUGGUGGCUUGUACCCUUUCUUGAACCAUUCAUCUUGUAGAAUUUCAGGAAUAGUUAUACGCUGCCAAAAAGAACAUGCAGAAUUUCAACCAAAAUGCACGCGCUAAAGCUUAUACUAUGAUCAAAGAUUGCAUGUAAUCACAAAUUUUCAUAGGAUGAAUUGAAUUUGAAACUUACGGUAAGAGGGUUUGGAUCAAGAAUACGCUUAAUCAAAUUCCUAGCACCAGAUGAAAACCAUGAUGGACAGCUGAAAGAAGCCUCCCAGAUCUGAAAUUUAUCAACGUACAAACAAUUUUAAUGAAGUUCUCAUCUAAAAAGACUGGCCAAAUCUGGAGGGUACUUACUUUCUUAUACAAGCCUAUAAGGCUUGGCUCAUCAAAAGGCAAAUAACCAGCCAUGAGAACAAAGAGAAUAACUCUGCAAGACCAAAUAUCAGAUGAUGUACCAUUCAAGUGAUUAAAAUCUCACAAGCACCACACAAAUUUCAGUUCAUAUAGUCAGUCUAUAUCAAAUACAUGUUCUCAAAAACAGAACAAUCUCAAACAGCUAUGACCAGUAUCCCACGGAAGGGAAAAAAAGCAUGAAAGUACUGAUAUAAUGACAUAAUUAUAAACAGCCAGAUGCUUUAUCCUUUCUUAAACAAAGCAAGAAUAAGAUUGCAUAAAAUUACAUAAAAACAAUAUCAUAUGGAUAAUAGAUCAAUUCUUUUUACUUCUAAAUUCAACAAUUCGACUCAUAAAUUCAACAUUCCUCUCUUAAAUUAACAUAAAUUCCAGUAAUUUCACAGCUUUAAGCUAAAAAAAAGGAAUGAAAGACAAUUCAUUUAUAUACCAGAGCUUUCUUAAGAAACAUGCCGGAGCUGGUUCGAACUUCACUUUCAAUACUUUGGCCUGAUACAUCAUCUGCCACCAUUGCUAUUAUGUGCCUUCUGCAAAUUGUUCUUGGACCGCAAUCUAGUGUAGUUGGUUUUUCCUGUUCCAUUUGCCACCAGUCAAAACAUAAAAGAGCUAUAUUGCAAUAUUAUGAUAACCCAUUACUCCUUUGACAAAGUGAAAUCUAGUUUUAGUAAUGGCAUCUUAAGCAAAAAUAUCCGCCUUUGCAUCUUCUAUUUUUCCCAUCCUUUUUCACCAUAUCAGCAGUGAGUCCCCAGGGUAUCUUAGUUUUGCAUAUUUUUUUGGAACCAUUUGUUAGGGUAUCUUAUUCAUGUGAGCAUUUAGGUAGUAUGUCAAGUUGAGUAACUAAUGGCAUCACAUCAUUUGAGCAUAUCUUAUACAUCCCAAACUCUAGUAGACUAGAUUAUUCCUGGAAACUAUACAAACCAUUUACAUUUGAAGAGAAUCUUGUUUUUGAAACUUGCCUUUUUGAAAGUAGCAUGUAGUUUUCAAGGGUGCAUCGUCCAUGUUUGAGCACCCUCUGAAGGAACAAAUAGGCAAUCAAUAGGGCCACACAUGUGCAUCACAACUGGAGAACUCAUUGGCAACUAUUGAGUAUAAUUUACAUUUGAGCUGUAUUUAGAUUCCAUCAGUAUUGCUGUGAGAUAGAUUAUUGUUCUUACCAAUGCCUCGAUUUAUGAAGAUGAGCAUAGAAAGUACUAAUUUUCUAUUAAGGAUACAAGCAAUGCUUCAAAGAAGUCUUUACAAUUUUGUUUCAAUCAUUUUGAUAAUCCCACAUGGUGGGAUAGUGGCUCAAAACUGACCUGUCCUCAUAUCUCUAUCAAUGGCAUCUGCAUUCAGGGUCCUAGGAAGCUCUCUAAAAUCUUCAUUGAAGAUGGAAUAUGCACUGUAAAUUUUGGAAUGGAAAAGAUAAGUCAGUCGUGGAAAGAAAUGAGCAGUUCAUGUUAAAAAAACUCACAUUAUAUAGGGUUUAGAAACUAAACAAAGACCCCAAAACAACCCCUAUGUCCUAUGAUAAUCUACAAGAGGUUCCUGCACAUGAACUUCAUUAGUAUUUUGUCAUUGGUUCAUAUGCUUAAGAAAUUCUCCACAGCUACCUUUGAGAAAAAGUCAGAAGAAAACAUAAUUCAAACAAAAUUUUCAUUCAGUGGUUUGUUUGGAAGUAUCAGGGGUAUCAGCAACACAUAUCAGAGUCAUGUAACAGUUUAUUUGUUAUUAUCUUAUACAUAUAUCAUGAACUUUGGCUACCUUAGGAAUUGGAGUUUAGAAGCAAGAGGAUACCUGACAUCACCAGGUUGCCGCCGUCCAAGGUUCAGGAAAAUUGUACAAAAACCAGUUCCAAGUAUCUGAGCAAAUGGGGGGCAAAGAAAAUAUGAACAUAGUUCAUAAUGGAAUUGCUCUAUAAUCUAAAUAAAUAUUUCGUGCAAAAGUGUGAUAGAUUGUCCAUGUCUUUAAAUAAUCUUUCUCCUCAUCUCUAAUUUUGCAUUGUUAUAUGUUUUAUACAAAGUACAUAAGAUACAAAACACAACGGUAUGUAUGAUAUAACAUCAGAAAUUAUGUCUUGAAUCCUUCUAAAAAAUCUUGAAGGUAACACCACAAUUUUUUUUACAUGUAGGCACACACUCUAAUACACUGAAAUUUAUCUAAUCUAUUAUAAUAAGACAACCAAAGAUACCGACUCUCUAAAAGAAAAUGACAUCAAUAACCAUCUAUUUUUCUAUAUCAUCAAGGAAGAAACUACAAGUUCCAGUAUUCCUCAAUGUUUUGGAGAUACAAAGAAAUUGGUUAAGUGAACUCAUCCAUAUAGCCCUACUUCCCAACAAGUGAAAAGAGGAUACAUCCAACACACAUAAACAGCAGUACAGAGGAGACAAAUCCAACUUACAUAUAUUGGUCCAAGAUCCCAUUUAUGGGCAACAUGUGCCAGUAUAAACCAUAAGAUAACAAGAAUCCAUGCUUUAAGACUUAGAGAAAAAAUUGCCAUCAAAAGGAUAUCUACAAAAAGACAUACAAGGAAUGGUCAACAAGUGAACUCUUACUAGGAAAAAUAACAACAGCUCAAUUCAAAGUUGGUUUUCACCAGGAAGCUUCAAUCUAUUUAGUAAAAACGAGUAAAGCUUCUUUUUCCACCGACUUGUUGACUGUGGAAGCUGAAAUUUCUAUUGGAAGAAUUGAGGGGAAAAAAUUUAACAACGAAAAUUUUGGGUUUACCAAAGUGGCAUCCAAGCUCAGUUUAGUGACUGCUAAUUCAGUCAUACCAAAUCUUCCUAAUCAUCGUCAAUAUCGAGUCCACUUGGUGCCUUUGGUUUGACAGCAACAAUGAGUGAAUCUAGAAAAUUGGAACAUAGUCAGUGCCUGCAUAUCAAUAGCUAAAAAUUAACUAAUUGAAUAAAUGCUUCCUAGAAUUUACAUAGGAGUAAUGGGUUAUCAUAAUAUUGCAAAGCUCAUCUAUUGUAAAUUAAAAUUAGGCAGUUGAAAAUUCAAUUAACAAAAAAAUAGGGGAAUCUGGCACACUUUUAUUGAAUGUGCCAAUGAUAUUUCAACAUACUUGCUCGUUAAGUGUUGAGAAAGUUUUGUCCAUAUCUUAGUCCAAAAUAAACUCAUAUAAAGUGUGUAUGAAUCAACUAUAAUAUGCUUAAAGUAUAAGCAUUGUAACUAUAAUCCAAAAGUAAGAAUUAUUUUUGAUAUUUUUGGCUUGAGAUGCCAUUGUAUGAAUUUUAUAAUCAAAUACGUGGAUAUAAAGCUUCUGAACAAACACGUAGGCAUAUAUCUUAAGGGAAAAGCUUAUGAACAAACACGUAGAUAUCCUAGGAGAAACUACAUAAUUACACUGUUCUUUCUAAAAAGGCAAAAAGAAAAAUCUUUAACUAAAAGUAAAUAUCAACUCAAAAUCACUAACAUAUUUUAGUUUUCAUCGUUUAAAAAAAAAAUACCAAAAACUUUUAUUAAUCACUAAGAUGUUAAACUCAUUACUGUGCAUCAUUCAAAAAUUCUCCAUCCUACACUUAUUCUACAUUUAACUUUUUUUAUGAAAUUUAAUUUUUUUUUUUCAUAAAGCAAUUUUAAAACGUUAAAUCUCUAGUCAAAUUAUGUUACAUCUAAAACAUAUUUUACUCCUUAAUAGAUAAUCAACUGUACUGUACUUUGAAGCUCAUUAAAAGAAUUUAACAACCCAACCUAAGACUUAAACGGAAACUUAUACAAAAUUUUUAAAUAAUUUAAUAACUUAAACAAAAAAUUUAAUUUUAACAUUAUAAUUUUACAAAAUUAAAUAAUUAAAAUAAAAACUUAGAAGUAUCAAUGGCUGUCAAUACAGUUUAACUAUUAAAAUUAAAUAAUUACUAAUAAUUUAAUAACCUUCAAUAUAAUUUACCCAAACAAACCUAAAAUAACAUACAUCUAUAACAUGACGAAACCUAAAAUAGAUCCAAACUUCAAACUAGCUUUAGAAAUUCUAAAAUAUGUAUUAAUUAACCUACCAAAAAUAUAACCAGACGCAUGAAGUUUUGCUUCCUCUGCCCCUACCUUGAAUAUUGUUCUAAGCACUAUAAACUGAUUAAUUAAAAAGGCAAUAAUGAAGAAGAAGUAGGUAUGGAAACUGAUUAAUAAGUAUCUUUGACCACUGAUUAAAAAAUAAAGCAGCAAAUCCAACUUUCAGCCAUGGUUAAACAUCACAGAGCAACGACGGAAAUAUUUACAAGCAAACAACACUAUCUUUACGUAAUGGAGGCUGAAAGAGCUAGUGACUCCAUGUUUCCAACCAUCUUUAUAUAAAGUUAUACCUAACACACUAAUGUGUGGACAUUUGAAGAAAACUCAGUUACCCCAUUCCAUGAUAAGGUAUUUUUAUGCCGCCUCGGCAAAGCCAACUCUCUCUUUACCGAAUCGAACACGGUGUGGUAGCGGCCCAUGAAAACAUCUCACGAAUAUACUGAUUAGAAAAAUUAUAAUUUGACCAUUAGAAAAUUACCAGAGGGGUCCACGAGGAGGAGGAACAUCCAAAGCAGUAAAGCCACUGAUGCAUUGAGCUUGUCCACCUUCACCCACCUUGAGAAUAUACUAAUUGCACCAAUAGAGAUUUAAUUAACAUCAGUAGGACAAGUUUUCAACUAUUGAUAUAGUACAAACACAAAAUGAGGAUCGGUUUUACCUCUUCAGGGUAAAGGUCGAAAACUUUGUCUCGGAUAGUGAAGGAAACAGUUGGCAUGGAUGAUAGACUUCCAGAUUCAACAGCAGAUGCUGCAAGACGGCUUCAGCAUAUGAGAUCGAAAGACAUAAUUCCCUUCCCACUCCUCCCUCCCCCCGAUAGAAGCAAAAGGAAGAGGCUAGGGUUUUAAUUGAACGUUGAAAAGGAAAUUGGAACAGUCAAAUUGCACGCCGCGUCUCUUCCGUUGGUUGAGAUUAAAGGUGGGUAGGCAUGAAAUCUUCCGUGAAACCAAAGGGAAUAGAAUCAAGGUUUUCAGCAGCGUAAAAUUGGGGAUUAGGGAUGGGGUGAAAAUAAAACGACGCCGUUUCGAUGUAAAAUUUUUUGCGGCACUUUUACAAAAACACCACUGUAUCUCAAUUUUUUGUGAUGUUUUUAUUAAAAACGCCACUAUAGCUCAACUUUUUGCGGCGUUUUCACUAAAAACGUCAUUAUUGCUCAAUUUUAUUUUUUUUUGUCAUUUUUAACCUACUUUUUUCUAUUUUUUCUUUUAAAUUUUUUUUUGCUGAGAUUAUAUUUUUUGGAAUUUUUAUUUUUUAAAUUUUGAAUAUUGAUCUUUUUUGAUUGAAAUAUGGACUAAAAUAUUAAAUAUUAAAAUUUUAAGUUUUUAAGUUUUUAAUUUUUAUUUUUUAUUUUCAAUUUUCAAUUUUCAAUUUUCAAUUUUCAAUUUUCAAUUUUCAAUUUUCAAUUUUUUUAAAGAUUUUUAUCAUUUUUAAAUUAACAUAUAAAAAAAUAGUAUCAUGUCAUGUGAAUUACCUUGUAAGUUUUCACGUCAAUAUCAUUAAAAAAUUAAUUUUACAAUUACAUCCCUAUUAAAAAUGAGAUUUAACAUUUUUUAAAAAGUGGAAGGUUUUGGUUCAAAAAAAAAAGAAUCAAAUUGAUAAAAUAUAUAAAUAUUGAAAGUUAAAAUUUAAUUACCAUGAUCAACUCUUUUAGGAAUUAAAUUAAUAGAUGGGAAUGGCAUGGUCUAGUAUUGUUUAAAGGAUUUCUUUUUUCUUUCUUUUUUUUAUCAACAUUAUUCUUUUAAGUAUGGUUCGCAUUAGUUGUUUAGAUUUUUAUACAAAUGGCAUUUAAUUAUAUGUUAUAUCAAUAAUUGUGUUAAUAAUUUACAAGAACUAGAUCAAAUUAAAGUUCAUGUAUGCUUUUGGGAUUUAACCCAUUUUGAUAUAUAUAUAUAUUAAAAUAAUAUUUUUUAAUUACCAACAAUAGUUUGGAGAGACAAGUAGACGAGACGACCAAAUGCUUCUGUAAUGUAUUGAAGAAAGAACAUAGAAAAAUCAAAACCAAAAUUAAGAAUAGAAUAAUGAAUAUAAGAAUUGGGUUUUUUCAAAACCAAAGGGAAAGGGAAAGGGAAAGGGGAAGGGAUCAUAUGGGUUCCAAGGUAAACCGAUGAAACGGCGUGUGUGAAAAGGGAGUUUUGAGGAUACCAAUUUUAGGAGGAAAAUUUAGGGUUUCGAAGGGAGGGGAAUUUGGGAAUAAAAAGGCGCCAUUUUGUUGCAGCGUUUUUUAUAAAAACGCCACUAAUCUCUAUUUUAUACAUUUUUAUUUUUAUAUUUCAUUUUUAUUUAUUAUCAAUGUUUUUAUUUAUUUAUCAAUAUAUUUUUUAAAUCUAAUAUUUAAAUAUAUCAAAUGGUUUAAAUUAAAUAUUUUUGAAAAUAAAAGCAUUAAUCUAAACCCUUAACCCUUAACCUUAAGUCAUAAAACAUAAACCCUAAACUUUUACCCGGCCCUUAACCUCUAACCCUUACCCCCUAUCAUCUAAACUUUAAACGAUUAAAGUUUAGCAUAUAUUUUUAUAAUUUUGAAACGAUUAAAUAAAAAAUUUUCCAUUAUUCAAAGGGAUGAAGUGCAAUUUUACCUUUAAAAUGUUUAAAAAUUUCAAAAAAUCAAAAUGGAAAAUUUUUCAUUUUAGAAGGGCAAAGACCCUUUCAACCCCCUACUUAUGCCCCUAAAUAUAUAUUAAUUAUACGGUUUAGGAUUUAAUUGAAUAUGAUUCACUUGAGAUUAACAUACUACCCAUGGCCAUUAAACCUUAAACCAUAAAACCCUAAAUUAUGGACCUUAAAUCUUAAAUAUUAAAUAUUAAACCAUAAACCCAAAAAUAAAUUUAAUCAAUAUUAAGUAUUGCUUCCGUAAUUUAUUAUGAACAUAAGCUUUUACAUUAAUAUCUAUGUAUAUACACAUCAACAUCCAUAUGAUAUUUUUUAGGGUUUAGGGUUUUAUGGGCUAUAGAUUAGUGUUUAGGGUUUAAGGGUUUAGGGUUUUAGGGGUUAUAUAGAUUAGUGUCUAUGAUUUUUUUGGAGGGUUUAAGGUUUUAGUGGUUAUAUGACUUUUAGCGGCGUUUUACCAAAAACGCCACUAUUGUUCUAUUUUUUAGCGGCGCUUUGACAAAAACGCCGCUAUUGCUCUGUUUUUUAGCGGCUCUUUUCCAAAAACGUCGCUAAUGUAUAAUUUUUGUGGCGUUUUUCAUAAAACGCCGCUAAAAACGCCGCUAAAGCCCUAUUUUCCUGUAGUGAAUAUCUAUUUUAAAAUCAUUUUUAUGUAUUGCUUAUUUAAAAUUGUUUCAUUAUAAAUUUUAAAUGGUUUUAUGUUAUUUAUUUCAUUCUUUUGAUUAUUUAUUGAUAUUUAAGUGACGUAUGCCUUGUGAUUAUUGUCAUUGUGUGUUUUAUAAAUCGUUCAUCCGUAUUUUCAUAUCAUUGUUAUUUACAUGUAUAAUAUUGUAUCCAUGCAUUAUCAUUCCAUGCACAUUACUAUAUUCUUAUUUCAUGUCAUCGUAUCGUGUAUUAAGCUUCAACAUGCUUAUCCAAUAUGGAUCAUUUUAUUUUACUCCAAACAAAAUACACAUCGUUUUAAAUUUUAUAUUUGCUAUUAGUACACAAAAAUAAAAAUUUCAAAAUAAGGCAAUAUUCCGUUCUUGGAAAUUCGAGAAAAUCGUGCCCUAACUUACUGGUUUCGAUUUUUCUCGUUUAAUCUAAAUAACCGAAUAUCCUUUUAAAAUUUAAAUACGAUUUUUUUGAAAUUCAGAAGAUAAUCUUAUUCUCGAAAGUUCUAAAUGUCGUGUCCUAACGUGCUGGAUGUGACAUUUUAUUACUUCGGGACAAGAAAGUCUUUAGCAUUCUCUCGAUUUAUCCAAGUACCUUUGUUUAAUUAACAUUAAUAAAAAAGGAGGAUCGUAUUUUUAAUUCCUUUUUGGGGUUUCAACUUUCGGCAUUAAGACAUUAAUUAAUCAAUUAGGUAUCAAUUUUGGGCAUUACGAGGGUGCUAAUCCUUCCUCAUACGUAACCAACUCCCUGACCCGUUUUCUCGAAUUUCGUAGACCAAAGUCAAUUUUUUAGUAAAACAAAAUAUUUUAUUAAAACAAUCAAAUUACGAGGUGACCCGAUCACAUCUCAAUAAAAAAAGGGAUUGGUGGCGACUCUCAAUUUUUGAUUUUCAUUUCCAAAACCAAAGUCGACCCGUUUUCAAAAAAUGGUUUUGACAUAUAUCAAUCAUUAUUAAUGUUUAAAAUUUUAGUUUUAGUUAAUUUAGUUAAGAAUAGGCUUUAAAAUCAUUCAUUUUAAAAAAUAUUAUAAGGGUAUUUUUAUUUUUUUACGUUUUUAAAAUAAACUUAACGAUUCGAUUAUUGAAGUAUUAAGUUGAGAAAAAUAAUAAUUUAAAUAUCACUUGUGACUAAAAAAAUUAAGUAUGAAGAUGAGAAAAAAAACAUAGUUAUUAACUCGAUGUUUAAGCCUUUUUAUAUAAAAUCUGUAAAAGAAAAAUAAUUUAAAUUUAAAUGAUAAGAUUUAAACUUAAGACAUUAAAAAUUUUAAAACCUAUCAUUUCAACCCAAGUCUCAUUAACUUUUUUUUAUAUAAACAAAUAUAGUUUUACAUUUUUAUUUAUUUAUAUCGUAUGCAUAAUGUAAUCUAGUGUGUAUUUAUUUUAUAUUAUAAAAUUAUAUUUAUAUGAAUGACUAUUGUAUAUUUUUAUAUCUUAUUAUAUAAUAAUAUAUUAUAUAUCAUAAUAUAAAAAAUUAUUUAUUACUUCAAAAUUUAAAAAAAACUUCACCAAUAAGGUAAAAAAAACUCUACCAAUAAAGUUGAAAAAUUGCCCUACGAAGAUAACAAGCAGCAACUCUUAUAAUGUUACUAGUUAUAUAAAUAUUUGUAGUUUCUUUUAAAUUAAAGGACUUGAACUUAGUUUUUUUAGGUAGUUAUUCUAAUAGGUAUAAAGUUAAAAUUUUUAAUCUGCUUGAUUCAUUACACUAAUUCAAUUAUAUACUUUAUAUAUAAUAUAAACAGAUAUUAUUGGGCCGCUAAGACACCAAUUCUCAACAAACUUGUAUCAUGAUUUCAUGUGCGAGAUAAAUGAUUUGUACCUUCAAUCAAUUUGAGUAGAUGGAAAUCAAGUCCUGUUGGAAGCUCUCGAUGCAAAAAGUAGAACAAUAAUUGCAACUUUUUGCUCUAGUCUCUACUAUAUCCAUCCAGUGAGACAUGAUAAAAAUACUCUCUUAACCUUUGAUGGAAUCUUGAAAAACCGUUGUGUAUCAGCAAAAUAUUUUAAGGCGAAGAUAGUGAAAGAAAGGAAUAAUUGAUUCUUUUAUUGCGGAUUCUGAGUAACAUAAAUCACGUAGAGGAAUUUGAGGAAUUCAGAUCCAAUGUGAUCUCAUAUCAUUUUAUUUUAAUUCCAAAUUAAUUUCCUUAAUCGAAAUUCAUUAAAUACCCUAUUUAAUAAAUUUGGUAAAGGAGAUGUUAUCCAUUUAUAAUAUGUGAAACAAAGUUCACAUCAUUUUAAGUGGAGUCUCCAUGCAUAUAUAUAUAUAUAUAUAUGCGUCAAAUAUGCACAUAUAUUGUGUUUAAUUUUUAAUCUUGAUAAAUUAAUACGAAUAUAUUUAUAAUUAAUUUAACUUGUGAGACAUGUUAAACAUUUCUAAUUUUUUUCGUAUUCCAAUCAUUUCAAGCAUAGGGUGUGAUCGUGUAAGAUCAUGUAACAUUGAAAAUAAUAUUUAAAUAGUUCUACUGUUACAAAUAGUAAAUGAGAUCUAGCAAUGCAUCAUUGCUAUUCAAGUUGCAAGGAGUCGUAAUAUGACAUAACCUUUUUUGCGGCAAUGUGACUAUGUAGUUUACCCAUUUUUCUGUGAUAUCUAGAUUGAAUUGUAACAUCCUACACCCAACUUGGAAGUUAAUCAACUGCAAAACGUGACAAUUGUUGCCAAAACAACUCAAAGAAACAUUAAAAUCGAUUACCAAAGCCAAAAAUAAGGGAAGUGUGUCACGUACAUUUAAAACAUCAUACAAGUGUUAAACGAACAUAAAUGAACUUAAAUUGGCCCACAUACAACAAUUUGGGGUCAAAGACGAAGUGAGGUUACAAAUCUUGGAUAAAACUAGCAAAAUGCAGGGUUGUCUCGAGACAUGCCUCACUAUGUUUUCGAAUUUUAGGUUCAAAGUUUCAUGUCUUGAGACAAUGAGACCAUGUCUCGAGAUAUUGACCUUAUGUCUUGAGGCAAUGGCACCAUAUUUUCGAAUUUCUUUAAGUUCUUUAGCUUCUUCAAACUUCGGCUUCUUCAAAGAAUUUUGUAAAGUUUUUUUGAGCUUCUUGAAUUUGUGUAUGUUUACAAUGACUUGGGAUGAUCUUUUUUUAAACGGUGUCAAUUACACUAAUACAAGAGCUCUUUUAAAACUUAUCUACUUCAUUUGAUUGUUCUACAAGAAUUCAAACUAUUUUAUUUAUUAUUUAAUUAAUUAGAGAUAAAAUAAUAAUUUAAUAUUAUCACUUAAUUAUUUUAUUUUUAAUUAGUGUUAAUAUAUAAUUUUAAUACUUAUCUCUUAUUUAAUUUAAAUUAAUUAGAAAAAAAUAAUUACGACACAUAUAUGAUGUCAUCAUUUUUACCAUGGUAAUUUUGGCUUUGAUCCACAGUAUUUUUGGCUUGACAUGUGACGAGUUAUAAUUGGUCCGAAAAAUUUCUUUGUGUAUAAUUAUAUUAAAUAAGUUUGAAAUUAAUUACUGUAAAGGCCCAAUUUUGUCUGGCCCAAAACCAAAAAUAAAUAAACAAAAUAUAAAAAAAUAAAUAAUAAUAAUAAUAAAACCUAAGUCCAAUUACAAAAGUGGCCCAAAUACAAAAAAUUCUAAGGCCCAGAAUAAUAUAACCUAACCCUAAAACCCAAUAACCCAAGCCCAAACUACCAAUAGCCCACAACCUUACGUUUUCAGAGAAACUAAAAGAAACCCUAGCCUUCUGUGCCGCGCCCCACGUCAACAUGCUCGCCGCUCGAGGCCUGACGCGCCCUUGCCUCCAUUGCACCAAAAUGGCAAAGGUGCGCUUCCUACCGUCGCCGUUGACCGCGCACCACUACCUGUAAAGAAAAAAAGGAUAAACGAUUUUGUAAUAUGGCUAUAAAAGCCAUAAUAAUGGCAUGUAACUUUUACAGAGAAACAUACACAAAGCAAUAAAAAGAAAACAUAAUAUAAAGAAAAUUUUUAAGGUGAUUUUCUUCUUUUUUUUUCUUUUUUUUUUUAAAAAGAAGAAGAAUAUAGAAAUCGUUUUCUUUACCUGAGUCGAUUCAUCUCCUUCCAUCGUUGGAGGUUUUCUCCGACGCCAAAAAGACCUAGAACCCAUUAGGGUUCGGUUUGGGUUCGACGGAGCAGGGCAUGGUCGUGCGCGCUAGUUAUGUAAAAGAAUCGAAAGCUUUUUGUAACUCCCCAAACCCGGCCUAGACGUUAUGGCCGAAUCUGGCGAUGUCACAUGAUAGCGUACUGAAACUAAGUUGUUACGAUAAAACCAUUUUCAUUUGUUUACUCUUGUUGACUCCAAAAUCGCUUACUUAUUUACUCAAUUGUUUUAAAACACAAUUCGUCGCGGAAGCUUUAAAAAUCAUUAAUUGAUGAAAAACUGAAUUAAUUAGGUAAAUUCAUCCAUCUUAGAAAAACCCCUUUGUUUUAGAGAAAACCGUUUGUUUGUUGAGUUUGUGCAGUUAUUAAAUCCACGAAAACAGUCUAAAAUCCGAAAUAAAAGCAAACAGUCAAAAAAGUCCAAUUUACAUAAAAAAAUAACCCAGAAAAUAAUUAAGAAAUAAAUACCAAAACUGAAAUUAAAACGGUUUUAAAAUACAUAUGGCUACCGUUGAGUCCUCUGCUACACCGAUCCGUCAAGUCUAGGGAUUACCUAUGCACAUUAAACAGAGAGGGGUGUGUUUGCGUAAACUCAGUGUGUAAUCCCACAGAAAACAAACAAUAGUAAACACAGUGCACAGUCAAAUACAGUUUUGGGCCUAAGCCCCUUUCAGUAUCAGUAACGUUGUGGGCCUUAUCCCAUAUCAGUACAAUAUCAAAUAUGCAGUAGGGCUUUAGCCCAUCAUAGUAUCAGUACGCAUUAGGGCCUUAGCCCAUCACAGUAUCAGUACGCAUUAGGGUCUUAGCCCAUCACAGUAUUAGUACGCAUUAGGGUCUUAGCCCACCACAGUAUCAGUACGCAUUAGGGCCUUAGCCCAUCACAGUAUCAGUAGCAGUCAUGCAGUAUUCAGUAACAAAGUCCUACCCAACCAGCCUCUGCACAUUAUCUCUGUCCAACCCUACACUCCAUGUAGGGAUUAAAUCAACCUACCCAUCCCUACACUCCAAGUAGUACCAUAUGCGGCACAAAACAGUAAUUUGCAGCUGAGCUGCCAGUAUAUUAGGCUUAAGAGCCUUUCUGUACACUUCCUCCAAAUAUAAUCAACCCAACCCCAAGCAAUACAACAUGUAAAACAUGACAUGCUAUCUCAUGAUAUCAGUACAUAUAACCAGUUUAGUAUACAUGCAUAUUAUCAUCAUGCUUAAUAUAUAUAAAUCAAACAGUCAGUUCACACAAUUAGGGGUUUAAGUGAUGCUUAUCGACCCUACAGUAGGUUCACAGUCGACUUGGACGACCUGUGCAACCUUAGCAAUCAAUUCAGUGAAAAUGGGCUCACACGCCCAUGUGGCCUGCUAGUGUGGGUACACACGUCCGUGUGGCCUACACGGCCCAAAUUGGCCUUGGCCGUGUGGAUCAUACGGCCAAGUGCAAAAUCCCACAUGCCCAUGUGGUCCCACAGGGCCCAAAUCAGCCUAGCCCGUGUGUUGCACACGGCCUACGUGGCCAUCACACGGCUGUGUCAUGUACACACGACCUGGCCUCGUCGAUCACAUGCCCGUGUUAUGUCGUGUUAUGUCACAUGGCCUACCACACGGGCGACCACACGCCUGUGUGACGUCAACAAUGAGGUUUUUGACUUCUGUCAAAACCUUAUUUUCUGUGCAAUCGAGUACACACUUGAUUCAAAUUAAAGCUAAAACGAUCUCUGAGCACUCCAGAACCUAUUUUCGACCGUCCAAAAACCAAUUUCAAUUACUUAAACAGAUACCAAACUGAAUUAUUAAGAAUGAACAAUUUCAAAUAUUUCCGACAACUCAUACCUUGAACGCAAAAUAACGAAAUCGCACUUCCUCGGCACCGAUUGGAACCCACAGCCGCCUAAAGGUCUCCUAAUCACGAAAUAAUUCCAUUAAUUACUAAUUCGAGAAUACCGAAACUAAAACACGUUUAACCAACUUACCGAACGACUUGAAGAAUCCUAACGUGAAAAUGAUAAUCUGUCAAAAUCACGACAGCAACAGUGAAAGAGAACGAAAAUUGAAUGUAAACUACGGAAGAAAAGAUGAAGAAACGCCAGAGAGGCUUUGGGGAAACAAAAAUCGGCAGAAAGAGAAAUGAGGGAAUGGGACAUUAGAAUUUUGGGGAAAAAUUUGAAAAAGAAUAAAGAUAAAAAUAAAAUCCAUCUGAUACCCCUAAAUCCCUUAAUUAUCUCCCACUACUCCCACUACUCAGAAUUCCUAUUUGACCGAACCUCUUCUAGCCUACCGAGCAAAAAUAACAUCCUUACUCGUGCAAGAUUCGAACACAAGACCUAUAGUAGAUAAACCAACAUCUUAACCACCAGACCAGCAGGUCUAUUCUAUUAUGGAAUUACAAAUAAUUAAAUAAAAGCUUACUGAACAAGAGUGAGGCUUCACUAAGAAAAAUUCCAAAACUUUACCUAAGGCAAGGCUUGAACUUGGGACCUCACACACACACCUAAAGCACAUAACCACUAAAGCAGAUACUCAAUUGCGUCACAUUUCACAAAAGUUGAAAUAAAAUUUUUGGGGCGUUACACUUUUUUUGGUCUUCUAUGAAUAGAAGGCUUUGCCUUCGAGAUCAGAGCCAAAAAGUGUUAAAAAAGGUUUUUUUUAAAUGAGGCUAAAAAGGGCAUUUUUUGGGCCACCGGAGGCGACGACUGUCGUCGUAGAUGAUCGGUGGCCACGGUGACCCAUGGCGGCUCAAAAGCCGGAUCUAGGGCCAUUACACGAUGUUGUUUGGGCCUGGCCUCAAAAACCCCAAAAUGACGUCGUUUCAAAGUGCCGACCCGAUGACCCGACCCGAACCGUACAGGAUCCGCGUGUUUUUGACGUGGGGGUCUAUUUGUGCCUUUGGUCCUUCCGCUGUUGUGGUUUGUAUCAAUUUAGUCAUAUUCUUUUUAGUUAUUUUAUUUCUUCCCCUGUAAUUUUAAAUCGUUUACAAAUUGGUCCCUUGACUCAACACCGACCUUCUAGGGAAUGACGAGUGUCCUGGGUUUUGGGAUAUUUUCCCAUUUAUCCCCUGUUAUUUUUCACGUAUUAUAUUUUAGUCCUUUAUUUGGGAAUAUUCUCCAUUUAGCCCCUUUUAUUUUUCACAUGUUAUAUUUUAGUCCUUUAUUUACUUAUUUAUUUAUUUUACUACAAUUUAUGAAUUUAAUUUCAUUUUAAUUCUGAUUUAGUCUUUGGUUUAUUUAAUUUUAACCUUUUUUGAAUUUAUUUAUUAUUUCUUUAACCCUUUUUAAUAGUUAAAUUCAUGUUAUUUAUAUUUCCUUUUAUGAUGCAUUUUCACCCUUAUUAUUAUUGUUAUUAUUGUUAUUAUUAUUAUUAUUAUUAUGAUAGUAACUAUAGUAUAAUUAUCGCUAUUAUUACUAUAAAUUGUCGUUUUGUUGUCAUCAUAGUUGUAUUAUUAUUACUCACUUGCAUAGUACUUUUAAUUUUUUAUACUUAUUUGUUUAUUUAUUUUCUUAUUAUUUUAAUAUCAUCAUUUCAUUUUUACCCGUUAUUAUGUUAUUUUGCUAACAUCCGUUCCGUGUAUUGUGUUAAAACCUAUUCGUCCAUUUUAUUACUAGGUCUAGAUAAAAAAAAUCAUUAAUAGGUUGCAUUCGUUUUACCACAUGAGUAGGAAACAUUUUAAAAGAAUAAAAAGAGGUAAUGUUCAUUAUUUUUGGAAUUAGAAGAGUCGGGUUCAUAACUUACAGAAUACGACUUCUUUUUAAAAUCGAAAUAGUCGAAUAUCUAAUUAAAAAAAUUAAAAAAUGAGAUUUAAGUAAUGAUCAAAUGACGUUUAUUCUUGUUUUCGAGGAUUUAAGGCACUGUGUCCUAACUUACCGGACAUGAUCUUUUCUUCGUGAAAAUUAAUUUAGUUAAGUAAUGUCUUAAUACAAAAAAGGAUCGUGUUUUAAACUUCCUUCAAAUUUUUAAUUCUCGACACUAAGACAUCAAGUAAUCUACUAGGUAUCAAUUUUGGGUAUCACGAGGGUGCUAAUCAUUCCUUAUGCGUAACCGACUCCCAAACCCAUUUCUUGUAUGUUGUAUACUAAAAAGUAUCAUUUUAAAUUUAACAUUUUAUUAAAAUGAGUUUUAAGGUGAUCCGAUCACACCUAAUAAAAGGAUUGGUGGCGACUCCCAUUUUCGUUUGUUUUAAAAUAAAAGGUCGAUUUCUAAAAAAGGGUUUUGACAACUUGGAGACUCUAUUGGGGAUAGAAUAAGAGAGUCAAGUCGUGAGUUGAUUACUUUUUGGUCUUCUUGUCGAAAAUUGAAUUUGGUUUAAAUUAAUGAUCCCUUCAUUGCAUCUCAUCCUUCAAGCUUUGUCUUUGAUAUCUCGAGUUACAUAGCGAUCUAGUACAACUAUUUUAUUGGUUCAAGAGUUUCUCUUUAUAUGUUUUCACAUAUAUUGCAUUUUUAUAAUUGUUCGAUUUUGCCCUUCUUAAAUAGGAGUGAGAAGUUAUUCCUUCGUGAGGUCUUCACCUCCGUAUAGGAUUGUGGAUUACUUUCGGGAUACAUCUAUACCUAUGUCUAUAUAAUAUCUUCAUCUCCGUAUAGCCAUAGGGAAAUGUAUUCCCCUGAACUAAACUCGGUUCGUAUGAGUCUAUAAUAGGUGAGGAUUGAGGAAUCUACUAGUUCAGGUACCCUUACUUUAGAACCGAGCCGCAUAUAAUGAGCCCUAAAAACCUACCCUAAGUAGAACCAUACCAAACUCUUACUGGUCACCCAAAUAGAUGUUCUAUUUAUUAUUUCUUGCUUUGAAUUCUAGCUUUGUAUGAAAUGAACUGACUUGUUUCCUUUUGUUUUAGCUGUGAUGUCAUUGUAUUUUCAUCAUAGAAAAGGGUGUUGAUUCAUGUUCAGUUGCUAAAUAGAGAGCUUUUCACGGAAAAAUGAUUUUUUGAUAAAGUGAAAGACAAUGCGGUCGUACGAAUAUGGUUUGAUAAAACACAUUAAGAGAAGGGUGAUAGCCUAAUGGAGGAAUAUAUGUCAGAACUAUGGGAUUUCACUUGCAUCAGUGUAACUCAAAAUGAUCUCCAAGAGUUGAAGGAAAUAUGGAACCGAUGAGAUGACAAAAUCAAACAGUUACUCUAUGGUGAUUUACCUUAUUUACUCGAUGUCAAAGUGGAUAAGCACUUAUUCUGAAUUCUUGCCUAGUAUUGGAAUCACGCCUAUAGCUACUUCACUUUUGGAAAGUUAGACUUGUUGCCCACCGUAGAAGAGUACACAACUCUGCUCCAUUGCCCGAGGAUCCAAGCCGACAAAGCUUAUUCUAGAGUAGCCAACGUCCCAACUUUCUUAAAGAGGCUAAUGAGCAUAACUGGGAUGAGCGAGUAAUGGGUCGUGGCCUGGAUUAAACAAAAGGGAGAUAGCAAAUGCAUCCCUUGAAAAAGUUUGUGGGAUUUGAUCUUGGCAUAUUUGGAUACGAAGAAAAGAGUCGAUGUCUUCGCCUUGAGUAUUUACAGGUUGGUCAUUUUCCUCAAAGCACUAGGGGACGUAGAUGAGGCAGUUUUAGAUCUAUUUGACCGACUUGAUAAAAAGGUCACACCCGUCCUGACAAUUUUAGCUGAAACUUUCAGAUCUUUAAGUGUAUGUCGGAAAGCAGGUGAAGGAAGAUUUAUCGGAUGUGCACAACCUUUGCUAGCUUGGUUCUAUAACCAUUUUUGGAAGGUAGAAAAGGUCUUUUAUCGAGUAUUCUUCGAUAACUACUCUCCAUUGAAAGAAUUCGUGGCUACCCCAUAGCGAGACAACAUUUCGGAAGAAACGUGGAUGGCAAUUCUCUAGAGUCUUCAAGAUGAAGACGUUGAAUGGAGGCCUCAUUGGAUGAUCCUUGAUGAAAUUUUGUACCGAUAUGGAGACUUCAACUGGGUUCCUCUACUCGGGAUAUGGGGAGCUAUCAAAUAUGCCCCUCUGCUCACAUUAAGAUAGUAUAGGUCAAUGUAGUUUAUACCGGCAAUGCAAGGGUUGGCUCAAUAUAAGUUUGCAUACAAAUGUGAUAAUUACAAAAAGAAGGUUCAUGAAAUAUCGAACGCUUGGAAUCAAACUCACAAAAUGAAAAGAUUUUUCGUAAAUCCCAUGACGACCCACGAAUAUGAUUGGUGGUAGGGUAAAAGAGUCAAUGACAAUGUCCCUUCAUCAAGCUAAAAAAGUACCCGGCCGAUAGAAGAACGUUUGCAAGUGAUACCAUCUAAGUUAAAGAUCGUAAAGUAAGACUUUGAAAAGAGUAGUUCAGAGUUGGAGAAAAAAUAGAACAGUUGGAAGAUAAAAAGAUUCAGCUAGGAUUAGACGUCGACGUCUAAAAUUUAGAAGCCAAGGAAAUGAGAAAAAGAAAGAACAAGGCUGAGAAAGACUUGGACAAACUAAAAACAGAUUAUAAGAAGCUGUGUUUGUCGAUGAGGACUGUCGGGUUGGGUAAAACAUCAGAAAAAUGGUGGCAAGAAAUCAAAGAAGAAAAGAUUAUUAGUUUAGCAGUGGGAAAAGAAAUUCCAAGAUGCUCGUGUUCGAGAAGAUGCUCUAGAAAGGGAUUUGUUAGAAAGCUGAAAUGAAAAGGUUAGAUUAAGAGCCUGGGUAGCAGAAUUAGAAAGGUCACUGCAUUAAUAUCGUAGUUGGAACUCCAUGAUUGAGUUGAAAGCAAUCCUAAAUAAGAUUGAAGAGUUGAAGGGAAAGAUAGAAGAGCUCAAGGCCGCACUGCAAAAUUGUAAACUUCAAGUUAAGCUUCUUAAAACGAACAAUAAUCACUGGAAAGAGCAAUUUCAAUGCUCUCAAUGUCAGAUUAGGGACAGAGAUCACAUUAUGGGCGAAGCUGUGACUCAAGUACGGGAAAUAGCCGACCAUUUGCAAACCCUAGUAGUUCAGGCUGACAUGCUGAGCUUGAGAUACGAGUCAAAAUCUAUCGAGGCCGAGAAUUAGCUUGGCUCCUUAGGAAAGUUAAGGCUUUGAGUGUUAGGGCAAGACCGUAUAUGUAAAAUAUAUCCAUUUUAUGUAAAGAGAUUUCUUUUCUAGUGAAGUUGUUAUAAUAGAAUUGAAUCAGAAUCAAUGCCUCUUUUGCAUUUAUUUCAUUCAUCAGCAUUACAUUUCAUCAUAUGUAUUAAAUUUCAUAAAAAAGACCCUAAUUAAUCGAAAUUAUGAUAAUUACCUUUGAAACCCAUAAGAAUCUUCCAACUUAAUAUUGUUAUGGUACCUGCAGCCAAACCAAAGCCAUGGAUCAAAGAUUAGAGAUAUUAGAACAAAUUCAGAAAGACGUGCAAGAUCUGUUGCAAGCGCAGCUGCAGGAAAAAUUAGCUAAGGUACAGUAAGACAUGAGGGAUCAAAUACAAGAAUCGCAAUGAAGUAUGAUAAGUCAGUUGACCCAAUUGCUGGCCAGAGGAAUUGAAAAAGGAAAAAAGUACUGUGAUUAACUCUGGGGAUGAUAAUGAAGACUCUACAUACCCCUUAGUGUAACAGUCUGGUUUAGAACCUAGUCGGAAUAGUGGUUUCGAGACCACAAAUCCAAGUUCAAAAAAUAUUUUAAUAUUAUUUUCUGUUUUUGCGAUAUGUGAAUUUAUAUCUGUGAAAUUUCUGUGAUUAAUUUGUUUAUUUCUGUGCUUAAUUAUGAAUAAGGACUUAAUCGCGUAAAACACAAAAGUUGCAUGCUAAUUGUUAAAGUGCCUAUUUGGCUUGGCUCUCUAUAGUAAAGGUCCUUAAGUUUUUAUUAAACCAUUGGAAACAUGAGUGGACUAUUAUGGCCUUAUUAUAAUAAUUUAUUAAUGACUUAAUAAAUGGGACAAAAUUGGUAUUUAGUAUUUUAUGUUAAUUAAAGUAAACAAAAUGCAUGAAAUUAGCCAUUUCUCAUGUGUUCUUGCCGAAAAUACCAAGAAAAAUAAAAUGAAAAAGAGCCUUAUGGUUUCGGCAUUUGCAAGCAUCAAAUAGGUAUGUAUUUUUGAUCGGUUUUUGAUAAUUUUUACGUUUCUGUGAUCAUUGCUUCGUGUUCUUCAAAGCCCAUGUCUAAAUUUCUAUUUCUGUUAAAGAUUUCAUGAAAUUCCAUUGUAGAUAUCAUAAGUUUUGUGAUGUUUUUGGAUGAAUUAUGAAGGCUUGGUAGAUGAGUUAUAAGUUUUGUCUUUGAAUUUUGAUGAAAUAGAGCUGUUUGAGCUAAUUUGUAAAAGUAGGGUUUUGAAGGACUAAAUUAUGAAUUAAACAUGUUGUAUGGUAUUAUAUAGAAGUCAUGAAAAUUCGGCUAGCCCUUGUUGCAAAGAAAUUUUACAUAUUGGUGAUUUUGUGAAAAAUUGACUAAAUUGUCAAAGUGUAAAAAUAUAAGGGCUAAAAUGUAAAUUGCCCUAAAUAUGUGUAUAUAGAUUAAAUUGAAUGAAAUGAAUGAUUGAAUGGUUGAAUUUGUAUUGUAUUAGAUCAAGAACAAAGAAAAUCAGACUUAGAUCGAGGGAAAUCCAAAAUAAUUAAAUAGUCGACUCGUUUUAUCCGAAAUCCGUCUAAGGUAAGUCAAAUUUCAAUUACGUAUUAAUUGAAAUAAAUUAUGCACAUAUAAACUGUAAUCCGUAUUGGAUGGCCUUGAGUGCAUGAUGAAUAUCUUUGGAAUAAAGUAUGAUAAUAUGUUAAUAUCUGAAAGGCUCUUUAUACUUCUAAGAAAAGUUGACAUCUGUCUGAUACAUUGUGUAAGACCGUGUCUGGGACACAGGCCUCGGUUGAGAUUUAUGUAUAAGACCAUGCAUGGGACAUCGGCAUCGUAUCUGAUUUCAUGUAAGACCCUGUCUGGGACAGAGGUAUCGAUAUUGAAUUUCAUGUAAGACCACGUCCGGGACGUCGGUAUUGUACUUGAUUAUGAGCAUCUGUGUCGUUUCUGAACCGUCUGAUGAUAUCGUACAAAAUAUGAGAAUGAGUAUAUGAAAUGUAUAACCUAUUCAGGUACGUUUGUAUUGUAUUAAAUUUUUGAAUAUGAAAAACUCUGUCUCUGUGAAAUAUGUAUGGAAUUGGAAAUGAAGCAUGACAUAUAUGCAAACAAAGGUGCAUGGUUAAGUAUGAAAUAUUCUAUGAAAUGGUUAUGAACGUUUAUGGUUAAAUUGUUCUUAUAUGCUUUAGCAGUUAGACCAAUUGUAUUUGGCUUACUAAGCUCUUUGUAGCUUACUCUAUGUGAUUUCUGUUUGUUUUACAGUUAUCGUAGCUACUGAAGGCUCGAGAUAGUCGAGGAUAGUCACCAUACAGUCGAACUCAUUUUGGUACUUUUGAAAGUGUAAAUAUUUUUUUUAAGUAUGGAAUGUAUAGGCUAGAAUGUUUAUGUAAGUAAGCUUGAUAUGUAUAUAUGUUAUGCCAUGUGAAUUGGCUAAUAAAUGAUAAGUUUGUGCAUAGUUUUGGCGUAUGUUUGUAAUGUGUUAUGUUCUAAUGUGUUUUGGUCAGCUUUAAGCAUGUUUUGAGCAUGGAAUUGGUUGAAAAAUUUUGUAUGAAUGUUGUAUAUUAUUGCUUGAGUGAUUGGCCCUUAGAGAAGUGACAAAUUGGCUUAAACCAAGCCUGCAUUGUGUCACACGGUUAGGGGGCACGGGCGUGCCUUAUGACCUUGGGCUUAAGUCAGUAGCUAGCUAAGUACCACACAGCCAUGGCACACGGCCGUGUCUAUUUUUCGUGUGAAAAAGUCAGUAUUGGACUUAUUUUUGGCACGGCUGGUUCACAUGGGUGUGUCUAAUGCCCUUGUGUACCACAUGGCCUAGUCACACAGGCGUGUGACUUUAACGGUUUUGGAAGAUUUGGAUAAGUCCUGGAAAUUCUGAAUAGGUUCGAUUUAGUUCUGACCUUUUCUUAAAUGUAUGUUUUAGGUCUCGUAGACCACAUUGAUGAAUGAAUUGGUGAUGAAUGCUUCUGUAUUAAUGAUAUAUGAUAUCUAUGAUUCUGAAAUGUUUGGUCCGUCCGGUGAUGCCCUUAUCUAUUUCGACGACGGUUACGGGAUAGGGGUGUUACACCUAAGCUUUACCCCGGUGAAUGUCCAAGCUCAACCAGAUACAUAUCUACUAAAGGUACCCGUCACCAUAAGACCUCAACAGUAUUAAGCCAGUACCUCAGAACAGGUGAAUUACCCAACAAGUUCGGGUUUCGAUCUCGGGGAUAAUCUGACCAACCUAGUUGUUCCCGACUUGGAUGAUAUGAUGGAAAUGGAUAGAGCAAGAGUAGAAUUGCUAAAAUAGUUAGAAGAUUGGUACAAGUGGUUGGAGGAAAAAUUCAAAGCUGUAGAGAAUGCUGAUUACUUUUGCGGGGUCGAUGCUAAGGAAUUGAGUUUAGUCCUAGAUCUAGUGCUCCAACCAAAAUUCAAAACUCUAAAAUUUGAAAAAUGUAAUGGGACUAGUUGCCCUGAAGCCCAUAUCACAAUGUUCUGCCAAAGAAUGACGGCAUACGUCAAUAACGACCAAUUGUUAAUCCACUGCUUCCAGGAUAGUUUGAUCGGGUUAGUUGCCAAGUGGUACAACCAACUAAGCUUGUCCAAAAUCAAGUCAUGGAAAGACUUGGCACAGGCUUUCAUGAAACAAUACAACCAUGUGAAUGACAUGACACCUGAUAGAAUUACCCUGUAAAACAUGGAGAAGAAGCAAAGUGAAAGCUUUAAGCAAUAAGCUCAGAGAUGGAGAGAGGUGGCAACUCAAGUUCAAGCACCUCUUUUGGAGAAGGAGACAACAAUGCUUUUCAUAAACACUCUGAAAGCCCCGUUCAUUAACCAUAUGUUAGGAAGUGCUACUAAGAGCUUUUCAAAUAUAGUAAUGUCCAUAUAUAUGAUUGAAAAUACAGUAAGGAGUGGGAAAAUAGAUGCGAAGGAAAAAGCUAAAAGAUUUGCCUCGAAAAAGAAAAAAAUGAAGUAAAUACUGCGAGCGUGUAUAAUAAGAGUUAUUCAAAAUCGGUUACUUUGGGCCAACAAGGAUCGUAACAACCAACCAUCAAGGCCUUUUAAGGAAAGAAUCUAACUCGAGGCCAAACACGGAAAAACUCCAAUUCACACUCAUCUCGAUUACAUAUAGAGAGUUAUAUCAGAAUUUGUUCGACGCUUAUGUGGUAUCCCCGUUUUACUUAAAACCCAUGCAACUUCCUUUCCCAAAAUGGUAUGAUGCGAAUGCUCAAUGCAAAUACCAUGCAAGAAUAACUAGACACUCAAUUAAGAACUGUAUUGUAUUCAAAAAGUUGAUUAAGAGGUUCAUCAAGAUGGGGAUUGUAAGGCUCAAUGAUCCAUCGAGACCUAAUGUGGCAGAAAAUCUGUUAUCUAGUCAUUCAGACCAAGGGGUAAACACGAUAAUUGAGAGUGGAGGAAAGAGGACCAAAACUGAGGUUGCAAAAGUAAAAACCCCACUAAAAUGGGUCUGGAAAAAAAUGAUAGACAUAGGAUUAAUCAUGCUAGAUUCAGAGGAGAGGCCCAAAGGAGUGAGGAGCUGCUGUGAGUUUCAUGCUAAAGAAGGUCAUGAGAUCUAAGAGUGUGUUGAGUUCAGGGCUUUAGUGCAAAGUCUGAUGGAUAAUAAAAAAAGUAAAUUUUUUGAAGAUGUCAAGAGCUUGAAAGGAGGAGAUGUUUGCGCCUCAGAGGAAUGAUCAACAGAUAAAGUUUACUAGGUCAAUCACCUAGUGGUGAAUAUUUCACGACCAAGAACUAAUGCAGCAGGAACACAAGCUGUGCCAAGAGUCAUAAUUCAAAAACCAUUUACUUUUCUUUACAAGGAUAGCAAAAGGGUUCAAUGGAAUUAUGACUGCAACGUGAUGAUCCCGGGAUAUAAGAACUUGGUUGGCAUUUCAAAAGAGGGUUAGGAUAUUGGUUUCUUCACUCGUAGUGGGAGACGCUAUGACCCUGCAAGUGUAAGAACCGAGCUUAUUAAGGAAAAAAACUCUAGUAGUUGAGCUCCAAAAAGAAAAAAUAGCUAGAUGUGAAUCACCUGUUAAUAAGCCAAUAACUGAAAAUGAGGCUAAAGCAUUUUCGAAGUUUUUGAAGCAUAACGAGUAUAAUGUUGUAGAACAGGUACACAAACAACCAGCUCACAUAUCAGUACUAGCUUUGCUCUUGAGCUCAGAGACACGUCAUAGCGCGUUGAUGAAGGUGUUAAAUGAAACUUAUAUCGUUGAUGAUAUCUCUAUAAACAAGCUAGACUGUUUGGUUAACAAUUUGAGUGCCGAUAAUUUCAUAUUUUUCAAUGAUGAUAAAAUAUCUCCAGGGGGAAUGUUGAUAAUACUCUGAAAUGACAUCUUUUUAUGUAUUAAUUACAUAUUUAUUUUGAGUAUGAUCUUACUAAUUUGAACUAUUUAUGGUUUUUUUAUCUUGUAGGGACUAAAUCGAAGGCAAAAGGAAAUUUAGGAGCAAAAAGCGUGAAAUUAAGGAUAAAAUGGGCCAGCAUGCAAAAUAAGAAAGAAGUGAUGCUGAAAACACAAAGUGUGGAAGAUAUUGGGGCAAAAGUGCAAAGAAGAGAUUUUAUAAACACAAUACUCUAUUCAAAUUUUAAUUAUAUUAGGAUAAUUGUUAAUAUUAUUAUUUAGAUUUAAUUUUAGCAUUUAUCUCUAUUUAUCUUUAUUUAUCUUUUAGAAUUUAGAUAGGAAUAGACUAGGUUUUCUAAGUACUAUAAAUAGGGGAUGGAGUGACACAAAUUUCACUCAUAUUUUUUUGUAACACUUCCUCUCCUAAAAAGCUUACCCUUUGUUCAUUUCAUUUAUUCAAUAAAAUUCCAUUUUAUUAAGUUUAUUUCUUUUUCCCCAAAAAGCAUGAGCCACUAAAUUCAUCUAGCCAAAGUUUGUCGAGAUUCCAUACUUAAUAUUCUCAACGAAUAUUUAUCGUUUUUCCACAUUACGGGGCUGACGCUUCCAUCCAUAUCCCUUCAAAAGUGAUCUUUUCAUCUUGUAUAAAGACGACCGCAUUGUAUGUUUUGGGAAGGUUGCACAGUCGGUUUCAUUAGCUUACUGCGUUAGUGGUUGUUGAGCCCAAGAGACAAAAUAGCGUGGCAUUCGCCAUUGAGAAAUGAUGGUCUAGUGUAAGAUGGUCCUACAAAAGCAACGAUUAGCUAGAGUUAGGUUCCUUUAAAUCGUUAGUCUAAAAUCUAAGUAGAGCUGGUGGUUGUAGGUGUCCUCUUCCCCUAUAACUGGCUUAUUCUGUUCGAGAAUGAUCACUUAAAAGCCUAGGAUUGAACCCAUAGAGGAUCAAGACAAUCAGAGGCUAGAAUCUCUCCAUCAAAAACUCUCUUUUCUCAACACUAUUUAUCUUUACAAUUUUAAUUUCAAUUUACGCAAUUUCAAGUCAAUCAAACUUUUAAUUCUAUUUUUUUUCAGGUACACAGUUUUUUUUGACACAACUCUAUUCGGGAUCUCGAGGAAUAUGAACUUGUAUAAAUCUAGUCCUUAAGGAUUUGACCCUACUUCUCUUAUACUAUUCUUUUCAUUAUUUUAUAGGAUUAAGAUAUUUUUGGUGCUUCCAUCCACGAAGGCUCUAUACAUCAUUAUCUACUGCAAAUGAUAGACAUUACCAAGGGUGUUAAUCGAUAAUUGAUCUACGCUAAACAUCUUGUUUCUAUCCACACUAAGUAGAUUGCUAAUGGAUAGCUCUCACAUGAAGACAUGCCAAAAUAUAGUGAGAACAUUCGAUGGUACAGAAAGGAGGGUGAUGGGGAGGAUUGAGAUACCUUUCUUAAUUGGUCCAAACACUUAUGAGGUAGAUUUUUUGGUAAUGGAUAUCAAACCCUCUUAUAACUACUUGUUGGGUAGGCUUUGGAUUCAUUCGGUUGGGGCAAUGCCGUCGUCAUUGCACUAAAAGUUGAAAAUGGUAACAGAAGGUCGAUUGGUAAUAAUAAACACUGAAAAAGAUAUUAUCGCAUCCGUAAUUAGUGGCGCACUGUACAUAGGAGCGGAUGAAGAGGCAAUAGAAUGUUCUUUUUGGUCACUAGAAUUUGUUAAUGCAACUUUCAUUGUUGAAGGAAACAAGAUCCCAAUGCCAAAAAUAUCCAGAACCUCGAGGAUGAGCCUGCAGUUGACGGUUGGAAAAAGGAGUCUUACCUGGAAGGGGACCAGGAAAAUACCUUCAAGGAAGAGUCAAGACACCAAUACUGAUGGAUAAAAAAACCAUUUUGGCUUAGGGUACAAGCCAGAUGCGAGGGAAAAGAAAGAGCUAGAGAAGAAGCAAGAAAGAAGAAGAGCGUGACUAAGUGGGGGAGAUGUCAAAUGGGAACCAAUGAUUUUUCCCUACAUAUCUAAAACGUUUGUGUCAGGAAAAAUCAUUUAUCUUGAACAAAAGAUGUUAGAAAAAGAAAGAUUGGAAAGAAUGUUAGGAAACUUGAGCAUCAAUGCUAUAUCUGAAGAAGGAAUUAGGGAGAACCUGUCAGGCAUUUGUCCUUAUAUUCCCCGAAGUGUUCUGAACAAUUGGACUACGGAAGAAAUCCCUGUAAUUUUUAAAACUAAUUCAGAGUAAUAUUCAAAACACACUUAUUACUUCAAGCCUGAGAGAAAUAAGAAUCCUUUUGUGAAAAAGGCAUAUGUCCACUUUUUUUUAUUUCAAUAAAAUGCAUCUUUGUGACUCAUUUGACAAAUAUUCUUCUUCUUUUUUUCAUUUCAUUCAUACUCAUACCAUACAAAUAAUUAUUCUUAGAUUUAUUUUUUCUUUGUAUCUUCAUUUAUUCCUAUAAUAGGUCUCAAAAUAUCAAUGAUAUGAGCGACGCUACUGCUAACUCAGAGUCUCCUUUUGAGCAGGAUAUGUGUCCACAAAAACAUCAGGAUUUUGAAAAUGAUAGAGAUUGUAACUAUCUCCUGAUUUGUUAAGGAUGGUAGAACAAUAUGAGAAAUAAAUCUUAACUUACAAAGAGUUAGUAGAAAUUGUGAGUUUGGGAGACAAACAAAAAAAUAAAGAGGUGAAGAUCGAAGCUUGCAUCACUGCAGAGACAAAGCGAGACCUUAUUGAGUUACUCCAAGAAUUCAAAGAUGUCUUCGCAUGGUCGUAUUAAGACAUGUCUGGUCUAAGUACUGAUAUCGUGGUACACCAGCCUCCCAUAAGAGAAGAAUGCAAGUCGGUUCAACAAAAACUCCGAAGGAUGAGACCCAAUGUCCUGUUGAAAAUAAAAGAAGAGGUCAAGAAACAAUUUGACGCUGGCUUCCUACAAGUGGUUAAAUAUUUAAAGUGGGUAGCCAAUAUAGUCCCCGUCCCUAAAAAAGAAGGAAAAGUACAAAUGUGUAUAGACUACAGGGAUUUAAUCAAAGUCAGCUCGAAAUAUAAUUUCCCAUUGCCUCACAUAGACACCUUAGUAGACAACAGGGUAGGUUAUUCACUGUUUUUCUUUAUGGAUGGCUUCUUCGGUUACAACUAGAUAAAGAUGCAUCCUAAAGGCAUGGAAAAGACUACAUUUGUAACCAUGUGGGGAACAUUUUACUAUAAAGUGAUGUCAUUCGGACUGAAAAAUGUGGGAGUGACUACCAAAGAGCCAUGGUAACUUUGUUUCAUGAUAUGAUGCACAAAGAAAUCGAGGUUUACAUUGAUGAUAUGAUCGCAAAAUCCCUAAUAGAAAAAGAGCAUGUACAAGUCUUGAGGAAACUGUUUUUGAGGUUGAAAAAAUUCUAGCUAAAGCUCAAUCCAACAAAAUGUACCUUUGAGGUUAGGUCAGGAAAAUUGCUAGGAUUUAUAGUCAACGAAAAAAGGAUCGAAAGCGACCCGGAUAAGGUCAAUACUAUACAGGAGUUGUCUCCGCCACGCUCUCAAAAAGAGGUUCGUGGUUUCUUAGGGAGAUUAAAUUAUAUCGCCCUAUUCAUUUUACAAUUAACAGAGAAAUGCAACCCCAUAUUCUAUCUCCUUAAAAAACAUAAUCCAAGUCUAUGGGAUGAGGAAUGCCAGAAAACUUUCGACAAGGUCAAACAUUACUUGUCCAAUGCCCUUGUGCUAAUGCCACCUAGCCUAGAUAAGCCGCUGAUACUGUACUUGGCAGUAUUUAAGAAUUCUAUGAGAUGAGUGCUUGGCCAACAUGAUGAGUUAGGAAGAAGAGAAAGAACAAUAUAUUACCUUAGUAAGAAGUUUAUUAAUGUGAGACAAGAUAGUCUCCAAUUGAGAAGUUGUGUGGUGACUUAAUCUGGACAACUCGGAGACUGAGACAGUACAUGUUGUACCAUACAACUUGGCUAAUUUAAAAAAUGGACCCUUUAAAGUACAUGAUGGAGUCGAUUGCACUGAAUGGAAGAAUAACCUGAUGAGAAAUUCUGCUUUUCAAAUUUGAUAUAAUCUAUGUGAAUCAGAAUGAGAUAAAAGGGAGUACAAUAGCAGAUUUUUUAGCCAGUAGAGCUUUAAAGGAUUAUGAGCCUUUAAAUUUUAAUUUUCCAAAUGAGAAUCUGAUGUAUGUUGUGACUACUGAAGAAGGUGUUCAAGAAGAACAUCAUUGGAAACUCAAUUUUGAUGGGGCCUCAAACGUUAUGGGCAAUGGAAUUGGGGCAGUCCAGGUAUCCCUAGACGGAUAUCAUUAUUCUUUUACUAGUAAAUUGGAUUUUAAUUUCACGAAUAAUAUGGCAGAAUACGAAGCAUGCAUCAUGGGUAUUCGUGUAGCUAUAGAAUGCAAGAUCAAAGUACUAGAGGUAUAUGGGGAUUCUACACUAGUGAUAUAUCAACUCAAAGUGAAUGGGAGACAAGAGAUCUCAAGUUGAUCAAGUAUAGAAGGUUGGUCCUAGAGUUAAUUAAGGAGUUUGAUGACAUUAAUUUGAUAGUUUGAAAGUUUAUGAGCUUUUAAACAAAGUUCAUAUUGAAGAAAAAGAAGAAUUAGGGAUUUAAUUGAAUAAAUUUUAAGUUAGAAAUUGAAAAAAAGGAUUAAAUUGUGAAAGAAGCUAUAAGUUUUGUGUUUUAGGAAAUUAAAUUGAAAGAAAUUUUAAAUUAGGGUUUUAUAGUGAAUAUUAGAUUGUUAGGAUGAACAUGGAAGGAAAUUGAGUAGAAAUGAAGUAUGAAUUAAGUUAAACAAAUAAAAGAGUUAAUUAGGAUUAAAUUGGAAUUAAAAAAUUGAAUAAAAAUUCAAUUAAUAAUUAAAUUAAUGCUGCAAUUAAUAAUGUAAAUUGUUAUUAUUAUUUUUUCUUUCGUAGCUAACAAGGAAAACGAGGCAUCGACAUCCAAAGGAAAAGAAAAGAUCGUUGAGGAGUAAACUCGUAUUCUGGGUUUGUAUUACUAUAACUCAAACUAUUUACUAAAUGUAUACUAAAUUUAUAGUUAUGGAAUAAUUAAGUUAAGGUAAGUAAUAUAUUUGAAAUUAAAUAUGAGUAUGUGUGAAAAUUAAUUUAUAUAUGAAUUAAGAUAAUAGAUGUUUGAAUUGAUUGUGAAUUGAAAAUUUGUGUGUAAAUGAAAUUGAAAUUGGGAAAGUAAAAUAAUACCCUAUUAACUUGUCGGACUAGAUUUGAUACAAAUGGCAUGUCAUUGGAUUUGUGAUGUGAUGAGGAGAUUUGUAGUUCGACCGAAAAGAUGUUUCUGUUAUUAUAUACUUCGGUUUAUCCGAAGAGGCAUUUAAUGCCUUACUGGUGUGUUAUGGAGGAUUUAUAAUAUUCCGAGUGUGUUGGGUUGGACAUUCUAGUGUGUUUGGGUGGCAUCCGCAUAUCUGUCAGAGUUCGAGCCUUGUUAAUAGGGUAAAUAAUUGAAAUGAAAUUUUGAAAAUGAAAUUAAUUGUUUUGGCACUAUUGAAAAGUAUGAGAAAGAAUGUAUAAACUAAAUUAUGAAUUGAGUUCAUAUGUGAAAAAUGAAAUAUGAAUUUAAGAUUUAUGAAGUAAUAUAAUUAUAUAUAUAAUUAGUUUAAAUGAUUAUAAAAUUUAUGGUUGAUGUUUGUAAUUUAUUAAUGUUAAAUAGUCUUGAUUUAUAGUAAUACCAGUGAGUAUGAAAUACUCAGCGUACGGUUGUUUCCGUGCGUAGGUCAUUAGAGUUUCAGAUCCGGUCUAGCAUCCAAAACAAACCCGACUCCAACAAGAAGAUUUCGGUGUUGUAUUUCUUCCUUUUGUUAAGUGGCAUGUACUAGGUAGUUAAAUAUAAAUUAUGUAUAUACAUUAAGUUAAAUGAUUUUGGUUGUAUAUAAAUGAUUAUAAUGUUUUGGAUUAUGAAUAUGAUAUAAAGUUAUGAAAUGGUAGAUUUGGUAUUAAAUAAUUGAAAUGAAAUAAAUAUUAUUAAUUAUACAUAUAUACUAACAUGUUAUAUUGUUUAAACUAAGGUAUUAAAUUAUUAUUUAAUAUAAGUUGGAUGAAAUUGAGUAUACUUAAUCAUUGGUUGGAGUAUUGAUAUUGGAUUGUUUUGGGUUUAAAGUUUGCAGGGAGUUUUAUGUAAAAAUAAGCAGAAAUAUUGUCGAAAUUUUUUUAAAAAAAAAUUAAUUAAAUUAAAUUAAAUUAUGAAAAAAUUCUGGAGAAUUUGAACAAGUUCCGUUUCACUUUUAAUUUACGUUUUGGCUUCGAGCGUCUAUUAUUAGGAUUUAAUUGUUAUAUUAUACUAUGAAUAUUAUUAUUUAUUUGUGAAUUAUUUUGUAAGUUGCCUGAUAUGUCUGGUAAUGCCUCGUAACCCUAUUCCGGUGACAGUUUGGGGUUAAAAGGGGUGUUACAGGUUCAACGGGCAAAGCCAAGUCGAGAAAGAAUGUUUGAAUAAGUUAAGUGACUCAGGUACGUGUUAGAUUUAUACGAGUACUGAAGAUGGAAGUAUUUGAUGAAUUCAAUUAUGAUAUUGGAUAUGUGUACAAUGAGAAAGGUUUGUGAACUUGUUUGUGUUUAGCUAUGCUUAGAAUAUUUGAAUUGAUAUGCAAAUAUUCAUAUUAUGACUUUAUUUGUAUAUGGCUUACUAAGCUUUUAAAGUUUACUUUGUGUGUUCUUUCUCUAUUCUAUAGAUUAUCAAAGCUAGCUCGGACUCGAGGAUCGUUGGGAAACGUCAUCACAGUACCGAUAAUCUUGUUGGUACUUUUGAAGCUUUAUAAAUAUGGUAUAUGGCACAUAUAGGCUAGUAGUUUGAUGAUAAGUUUUGAGAUAUGAUAUUAGCCAUUUGUAUUGGCUUGUGAUGUAAAUGUUGGUGUAUAGGCCAUUUAAGUUGGCUUGAAUUAGGUAUUUGGUAAGUAAUUCAUGAUGUAUAAGUUGUCAUAAGUUUUGGUUUGUUUGGUAUGGUUAUAUGGUUGCUCAAGUAACUAGUUGUUAUUUGGUGAGUCAAUUCUUGAAUGAUGAUAUGUUAUGGCUUGGUUUUGAGAUGAUGAAAUGGUAUGAUUUGAAGUAUGAAAUGGAUGAUAAGAUGAUGAGGAAAUACAUUUAGAAAUUAUGUAAGUUUGAUGAUUUUGGCAUGUUGAUUUGGUAUAUUUUGGUAAUGGAUUUGAGUAUUUAAGAGAAUGGUUUAUUAAUGGCAUGAAAUGUGCAUGAAUUGACAUGUUUUGGCUGCCUAUAAAUGUAUUGAAAUGGUACCAUAGUAGUUGCUAGGUGUGCUUGAGAAUAGGGUGGCAAAUUGGCUUUGCAAAUAGCCUAUUUUUGUUCACACGAGAAGAGACACGGGCAGAGACAAGGGCAUGUGUCUCAGCCGUGUGCGACACACGGUCAUGCUACACGACCGUGUGUCCCUUGGGGUACCCUUUCAAAUUAAGUCAGUAUACCUACAAGUUUGACAUGAUCUAGACACACGGGCGUGUCUACUUGCCGUGUGUGGCACACGGGCUGGCACAUGGGCGUGUGGCUGGCCGUGUGACCCAAGUCAGUAACCUCUCUAGUUUUCAAACGAUCUGGCACAUGAACGUGUCCUCAGCCGUGUGGUGCAAUUCAGAAUGUAUGCCCUGUUUUGACACGUCUUGUGAUACAGGCGUGUACCCUUAAAUGAUUUAAAAUUUUAUAAGUUUCUCAAAGUUUGCAAAUGUUAUCGGUUUAGUCUCGAACCUCUUUUAAGCAUGUUUUAAGGUCUCGUAGGACCUUAUAAGGGACAAUGUGGAUUAAUUGAAUGGAUAUUGAUGUGUAUUAUCCAGUAAUACUUUGUAACCUUAUUCUGGUGAAAGAUACCAGUUUGGGGUGUUAUAUAAAGAUUGGCAUGAGAAGUUACCAUUUGCCCUCUAUGCUUAUCGAACAUCUAUCAGAACCUCUAUUGGGGCAAUGCUUUUCUCUUUGGUUUAUAGAAUGGAGGUGGUUUUUCCCAUUGAAGUCGAGAUUCCUUCUCUCCGAGUUUUGUUAGAGUUAAAAUUAGAUGAAGUAGAAUGGAUCCAAUCUUGAUAUGAUCAGUUGAACUUGAUCGAAGAGAAGAUGUUGAAAGCUAUCCGUCAUGGUUAGAUAUACCAAAAACGAAUGAUACGAGCUUAUGACAAAAAGGUUCGCCCCAGUGAAUUCCAUGAGGGAGACCUAGUAUUGAAAAAGAUCCUGCCCAUACAAAAGGACUUCAGAGAAAAAUAGAUGCCAAAUUGGGAAAGACCUUAUAUGAUAAAGAAGGAUUUUUUUAGAGGAGCGCUGAUUUUGAUCGAGAUGGAUGGAAAAAACUUGUCUAAUCCUAUGAAUUCGGACUCAGUCAAGAAAUACUUCAGGCCAAGUCAAAAACUCGCAAAGGGCGCCUUAAGACUAAAAGGGUUUUGAGUUGAAAACCCGGGAAAGAGCAACUCAAAUUUAUAUCGAAGAUUGAACAUGUAGUAGUCGUGUCUUUUCAGAAGGAGAAACGUUUACAUCUUAGGGCAUCAACAAAGCACUCUAGAUCUUUAAACAUAUAUCAGGCUCAAAAUGGUCCUCAAGAAGUUUGUGCAGAAAAGCUCAUGCUGCAAUAUUUAGGGCACCUAUUUUUAUCUUACUCAUUUUAUAUUUUAGCAAUGUUUGUUAUUUUGAUUAAUUUAUUCAUUUCGAGUUUUGCUCCCAAUAAAUUUCAAUUUUGUCUAUUUGUUACAAUCUUUUCCAAGCAUUUUUACAUUGAAAUAACGAUUAAUGGACUAACAAUAUUCAAGUAAAAGGAUUUUUGCAUAUUGCUCUGAAAGGUUUUCUAAAUAGUACAAGGACUUGAAACAUGACCAUUAGUUAGAACUAACCAAAUCUAAGGGUUGGAAAUAGCUGGAAACGAAUUGUCUAAAUUGUGAUCACUUUUUUGAGUUUCUUGUCAAAGAUACCAGAUCUAAAUAAGAAGGCAUGGUAAAACAUCAGUGAUAGAACCUUGAUGAACAAUGAGCAAUGUCAACCUAAGCACUAAAAAGGGGAUCAUUCUCGAAAAUGACAUUUUGCAUUCACACAAAUAUCAUUUAUAUACAUCUAGUUAGGAGCAUUUGAUUCAUUCUGAUCAUAACAUCCUAAUCGCUUGGCAUAAAUGUAGGCCUAUGAAAUGGAUUCUACAGGUUAUGUUCUCCAGAGAACAGUGUAAUAGAUCAGUAAAACCACAAGUCCCAUACCCCUGAAGUUGCAGUGAGUCAGAUUAAAGCUGCAAAUCUUAUCUCUCUGAAGUUGUAGUGGAGCAGAUUAAAACCACAAAUCUAAUCUCCCUGAAGUUGUAGUGGAGCAGAUUGAAGUUACAAAUUUUAUCUCCCUGAAGUUUCAGUGGAGCAGAUUAAAGCGAACCUUAUCUCCCUGAAGUUUUUUGUGGAGCAGAUUAAAGCUACUAAUCUUAUCUCAUUGAAGUUGCAGUGGAGCAGAUUAAAGCUACUAAUCUUAUUUCCUUGAAGUUGUAGUGGAGCAGGUUAAAGCCACAAAUCUAAUCUCCCUGAAGUUGCAGCGGAGCAGAUUGAAGUUGCAAAUCUUAUCUCCUUGAAGUUGCAGUAGAGCAAAUUGAAGCUACGAAUAUUAUCUCCCUGAAGUUGCAGUGGAGCAGAUUGAAGCUACAAACCUUAUCUCCCUGAAGUUGCAGUGGAGCAGAUUGAAGCGAUAAAUCCUAUACCUUUGAAGUUGCAGUGGAUUAGAAUGAAGCUACUUGAAAAAGAGAAGCACUAAAAAAGUCAAAAUUCGAUAGGACCAGACAAAAUGGGUCCUUCUUAAAGUCUUUGCUCCAUUCCCAUUACACGAUAAAAAGCAAAGAGGGGCAGCUGUAAAGGCUUAAUUUUGUCUGACCCAAAACUAAAAAUAAAUAAAAAAAAUAUAAAAACAAAAAAUAAAUAAUAAUAAAACCCAAGUCCAACUACAAAAACGACCCAAAUAAAAAAAAACCCAAGGCCCAAAAUAAUAUAACCUAACCCUAAAACCCAAUACCCAAGCCCAAACUCCUAAUAACCCACAACAUUAAGUUUUUAGAAAAACUAAAAGAAACCCUAGCCCUUUACGCCGCGCCUCACAUCAGCGUGCUCGCUUCCCGAGGCCUGACUCGCCCCUGCCGCCAUUGUACCAAAAUGGUAAAUGUGCAGUUUUCACCGUCAUCGUUGACCACGCACCGAUACCUGCAAAGAAAAUGUGCAGAAACAACAAAUAAUAGAAGCAAAAUAGUAGAAAAGACAUAAAAAAAAGAUAAAUGAUUUUGUAAUAUGGCUAUAAAAGUCAUAACAAUGGCAUGUAACUUUUACGGAGAAAUAUACACAAAGCAAUAAAAAAAAUAGAAUAUAAAGAAAAUUUCAAAGGUGAUUUUCUUGUUUUUAUUUUUUUAUUUCAAAAAAAUAAUAAAUAAAAAGAUAGAAAUCGUUUUCUUUACCUGAGUCGAUUCACCUCCCUCCGUUGUUGGAGGUUUUCUCCGGCACCAAAAAACCCAAAACCCAUUAGGGUUUGGUUUGGGUUCGACGGAGCAAGGCAUGGUCGUGCGCAUCGGUUAUGUAAAAGAAUCCAAAGCUUUUUUUGGUCUUUUGCGAAUAGAAGGCUUUGCUUUCGAGAUCAGGGCCAAAAAGUGUUUGAAAAGUUUUUUUUAAAAGACGCUAAAAAGGGCAUUUUUCCAGCCACCGGAGGUGACGACCACCGUCGCCGAUGACCGGUGGCUACGGUGGCUCAAAGGCUGAAUCUAGGAGGGCUUUGGAGAGAAAAAAGAGGGUUUCAAAAUUGUAACGACCCGAACUUUAAGGUUAUUAGAAAGGUAUAUUUUCGGAUCACUGUUUCUGAAAAAUGAAUUAGAAAAUAUUUAUUAAAAAUAUUUAUGAAGUUAAUCGAGUGAUUAAUUAGAGUUUUAAUUAAGUGAAUUUAGCUUAAUUAAGAGUAAUUAGGAAAAAUGACUAAAUUGAAUAAAGAAUGAAAGUUGAAUUGUAGAUUAAAAGAAAAUAAAAAGGGACCAAAUAGGCAAUUAUGCCUAAUGUAUGAAUUUAGGCGGCAAAAGAUGGAAGAGUCUAGGAUUUUCUUAUAUUAAUUAAUUAAUUUAUUAUUAUGGUUAUUAUUAUUUAAUUGAUAUUAAGUUAUUAUAUUAUGAAAUAAAUUGAAAUAAAGACAAAUGUGUGAUGAUAAAAUUGUACAAGUGUAAUAUAUGUAUUUGAACACUUGGAAUAUAAUUGUAUAUUUACUUAAUUUUAGAAUAAAAGAUAUUUAUUAAUUAAAUAAUUAAAUAAUGAGAUUUUUGUUUAAUAAAUAAAUUAAAUAAUGACAAUUGUAAUGAAUUUAUUGGUACAAAUGUGAAAUAUAAGUGUGUACAAUUGUAAUAUUAGUAUUUAAUAUUAAAUAAGAUAUUUAUUAAUUAAAUAAUUAUAUUAUGAGAUUUUUAUGUAAUAAAUAUAUUAAAUUAUGACAAAUGUAUGGUAAAAUCUGUGACAUGUGUAAUAAUAAAAAAUGCAUACAAGUGUUAAAUAAAUAUUUGUUAUUAAAUAAAUUUUUAAAUAUAGAUAUUUUAUUUUUAUUAUUAUAUUAUAUAUAUAUAUAGUAAAUAAAUAAAGAAAAAGAGAAAGGAAACAAAGAAAAGAAACAGAAUAGGCAAACGAAAAGCAGGGGAAGGAAAGAAAGAAAGGAGAAAGAAAAGAAAAAGGGAGAAUUAGGGUUUGAAGGUUUGGAAGUUUAAUAGGUAAGUUAAUUUAGCCCUUUUUACUUAAUUUUGAUGUUUUAAAAGCUUUAGAACAAAGUUUUGAUGAAAUUAAAUUAAUAUUUUGAAAGUUAAUAGAAUUCUAAAUAUUGUUCAUGUUGAAUAAAAAAAUGAAUUAGGGGUUAGAUUGAUAGGAAUUCAAGUUAGAAAUGAAAUAAGGAUUGAAUUGUAAAGUAAUUCAUAAGUUUUAUGUUGAAGGGACUAAAUUGAUGAAAUUUUCGAAAUUAGGAAAAUAUGCUGAAAAUUUAAUAGUUAAGUAUGAGUUUGGACAAAAUUUGAAUAGAAAUGAAGUAUGAAUUGAGAUAGAAAAAGUAAGUGAAUUUAGUUAAGAUUAAAUUGAAAUUAAAGUAGAAAUUGAAUCAAAAUUUAUUAAUUAGAUAUAAAUUAGUAGAGAAUUAACGAAUAUGAAUUGUUUUAAUUCCCAUAGCUAAUGUUGUCUUGGGAAAUCUCGGCUAAGCAAGGAAAAAUGACAAAGACAACGGGAGUUAGCUCAAGAAAAUACGGUUUAUAUUUCUAUAAUCCGAACUCAGACAUUAUUUGUUAUAUUUAUAUAUAGAUGACAAUUGUUAGUGUUAGAAUUAUGAUAUUUUACAAUUGAAUUGGAUUGAUUUUGGUAUGUGAUGAAUUUAUCAAAUUUAUAUUGAUUGAAAUCAUUUUGAUUGAAUUUAUAUUGAUUGAAAUUUAAUAUAUAUAUAUAUGAUUUAUGUAAAAAUUUGAAUAUUGAAUGAAUGUUAUAUUGAAAAAAAUUAUAUUGAUUGGAAAUAUGAGGGAAUUGAUAUGAAUAUAUGUGAUUAUUAGAAUGGUAUAUUGAUGAAAGACUUAUUAAAUUGAGAAAGUGAAUCAAAUACCCUAUUAACAAUAUCGGACCAGAUUGGAUAUAAAUGGCAUGCCAUUGGAUUUGUGAUGUGAUGGGGAGAUUUGUAAUUCGGCCGAGAAGAUGUUUCUGUUAUUAUAUACUUCGGUUUAUCCGAAGAGGCAUCUAAUGCCUUAUUGGUGUGUUUGGGAGGAUAUGAUAUACUGGUGUGUUAUGGAGGAUUUAUAAUAUUCCGGGUGUGUUUGGGUUGGAUAUUCUGGUGUGUUUGGGUUGGAUAUUCUGGUGUGCUUGGGAGGAAUCCUCGUAUCUAUCAGAGUCCGGGUCUUGUUAAUAGGGGUAAAUAAGUGAAAAGAUAAAUUGAGUGAAUUUGAUUGAUUAAGCUAUUGGAAUGAAAUGAGAAAUUGAAUUGAGAAUUGAAAUUGAGAUAUGAGAUUGAAAACAUGAACCAAAAGGUUCAUGAAAUGAGUGAAGUUCAAAUGGAUGAUGAUUGAUGUUAGAAUGAAUUAAAAUGGUAUAUUGUUAAGAAGUAAAGUGUGAAUACAAAUGAAUUGUGAAUAUAUUGUAAAGAAUUUAUACGGUAAGAAAAUGAAAAGAAUUGAGCAAAUAUGUUGUUGUGUUUGUUAUAUGGCUUGUAUAGAAUUUUUAUGGUAAGUAAAUGAAACUUAUCUAUAAAAUAAAUAAAUGAAUAGUUAUAUUUGCUAUUGUGAUUUUAAGUUUAAUUGUUAUAUUAUCAAGUGUUUGGAUUAUAGAAAUACCACUGAGUAUACCAUACUCAGCGUACGGUUUGUUUCCGUGCGCAGGUAAAGUACAGAUAGAACGUUGAAUCAGCAUCCCAGGCCGAUCCCGAAUUCAAUGAGGUAAAGUGUGUUAAUUAUGGGUAAUGGCAUGUACCUAGGAUGUCUUUUGUGUGUGUCAUUUUGAAAUUGUAAAUGUAAGGAUGAAAUAAAUAAAUUUAGGUUUGGUUAUGGUAUAAAAUAGGAUUUGACUAAUUUGGUAUGAAUUUGAAUUUUUGUGAGACAAUGUCAGAUUGAUUUUGGAAUUCCCUAUUCUGAAUUGGGAAAAUCAUUAAAAAUUGUAUAAAAAUAAUUAUGAGCUAUAAUUUAUAUGCUUAGAAUCUUUAAUGAGUCUAUUUUCAAUAGAAAUAAACGGGAACAUCAUCCGAAUCCUAUGCUAUGAGAUAGUUAAAUUUUAGUAAAAAAGGGUCGAAGUUGUCAAAUAGCAGACCAGGGGUAACUUUGAGGAAUAAACUGUACUAAUUGGCUAUAUUAAAAAUUCUGAAAAUUUUAUGGUAGAAAGGUAUAUGAUUCUAGUUUUAAGGAAAAUUAAUGGAACUUAAUUUGAAGUUUCGUAGCUCCAGUUAUAAAUAUUUUAGUGACUACUGCUCAAGAAGACAGCUUUGACAUAAACAUAAGAAAAUAAUGGAAUUGUGUGUAAUUAUUCUGUAAACUCCGGUAAUGCUCCAUAACCCUCUUCUAGUGACGAUUUGGGGUUAAGAGGUGUUACAAAAAAAAAUUUAAAGGGGGUCUGAAACAAUUUUUUGAAAUUCUUUUUGGUAUUUAUAGGGCUAUUACACGACGUCAUUUGGGGCUGGCCUCAGAAGCCCUAAAACGAUGUCAUUACGAAGCACCGACCCGACGACCCAACCCAAACCGCAUAGGAUCCUCGUGUUUUUGACGUAGGGGUCUAUUUGUGCCUUUGGUCCUUAUGCUUUUGCAGCUCGUUUCAAUUUAGUCAUAUUCUUUUUAAUUAUUUUAUUUUUUCCCUGUAAUUUUAAAUCACUUACAAAUUGGUCCCUUGACUCAUCACCGUCCUUCUAGGGAAUGACAGGUGUCUUGGGUUUUGGGAUAUUUUCCUAUGUAACCCUGUUAUUUUUCACGUAUUAUAUUUUAGUCCUUUAUUUAGGAAUAUUCUCCAUUUAGCCCCUGUUAUUUUCUGCAUGUUAUAUUUUAGUCCUUUAUUUACUUAUUUAUUUUAUUACAAUUUGUGCUUUUAAUUUUAUUUUAAUUCUAAUUUAGUCCUUGGUUUAUUUAAAUUUAAUCUUUUAUGAAUUUAUUUUUUAUUUAUUAUUUCUUUAACCCCUUUUAAUAAUUAAAUUCAUAUUAUUUAUAUUUCCUUUUAUGAUGCAUGAUUCACCCUUAUUAUUAUUAUUUUAUUGUUCAUGUUAAUAUUAUGAUAGUAACUAUAGUAUAAUUAUUGCUAUUAUUACUAUAAAUUGUCGUUUUGUUGUCAUCAUAGUUGUAUUAUUACUACUCACUUGCAUUGUACUUUUAUUUUUUUAUACUUUAUUUUUCAUUUGUUUACUUAUCAUUUUAAUAACAUCAUUUCAUUUUUACCCCUUAUUAUGUUUUUUUUGCUAACAUCCGUGCCAUGUAUCGCGUUAAAACCUAUUCGUCCAUUUUAUUACUAGGUCUAGAUAAAUAAAUAAAAACAUAUCAUUAAAAGGUUGCAUUCGAUUUACCACAUGAAUAGGAAAUAUUUUAAAAGGAAAAAAGAGGUAAUGUUCAUUAUUUUUGAAAUUAGAAGAGUCGUGUUCCUAACUUAUAGGAUACGGCUUCUUUCUAAAACCAAAAUAGUCGAAUAUCUAUUUUAAAAAUUUUAAAAAAAAUGAGAUUUAAGUAACGAUAAAAUGGUGUUUAUUCUUAUUUUUGAGAAUUUAAAGCAUUGUGUCCUAACUUACCGGACGUGAUCUUUUCUUCUUGAUUAACUUGAAAUAAGUCCUUUUCGUGAAAAUUAAUUUAGUUAAGUAAUUUCUUAAUACAAAAAGAGACCGUGUUUUAAACUCCCUUCAAAUUUUCAAUUCUCGACACUAAGACAUUAAGUAAUCUACUAGGCACCAAUUCUGGGCGUCACGAGGGUGCUAAUCCUUCCUCAUGCGUAAUCGACUCCCAAACCCAUUUCUUGAAUUUUGUAGAUUGAAAUGUAUCAUUUUAAAUUUAACAUUUUAUUAAAAUGAGUUUUAAGGUGAUCCGAUCACACCUAAUAAAAGGAUUGGUAGCGACUCUCAUUUCCGUUUAUUUUAAAAUAAAAAGUCGAUUUUCAAAAAAGUGUUUUGACAAUUACUUUUUAUGAUUUUGUAAUUAAAAAAGAUAUUGGGUUAAUGUUUAAAAUUGCCACUACACUUCAGGUUUAAUUUGAAAAUUUUCACUAUAUUUUAUUUUGAUUGAUAUUUACUAUUAUAUUUUUGAACUAAAGAUAAAUUUACCACUAUAUUUUCACUUUACUUUUAUUUGAUAAAAUUUUUCCAUUAAAAUUUAAUUUUUGAUUGAAUUUUACUAUUCAAUUUUAAUUUAAAAUAUUUUUGAAGACGAAUUUAAUACAAAAAUAUUAUAAUUUAAUAAUUAAAAUUAUAAUAAAUUAAUAUAGUAUCAACAAUUAAUAAAAAACUUAUUUACAAAAAAGUAAACUUAAUCUUUUUAUUUUAAAAUCUUCAAGUCUUUCUUUUAUUAAAUAAAAAUUCUAUGUUGAUGUAUUAUCUUUUAAUAUUUUAUUAAUUUAUUGUUAACUAUGAAAAUUAAAUAUUUGAAAUAAUAUUUUCUUGUUAAAUUUUAUUUUCAAAUCAUAAAAAUCAAUAUUAAUUGGUAAAAUUUUAUUAAAAAUCAAGAUUAGCACUAGAAUUCAAUAAAAUUCAAAGUUUAGUAAUAAAAUUUAAUCAUAUAAUAAUUAUGUGGCAAAUUUAAUCAUACUCUUAAAGUAUAAUGAUAAAUAUUAACCAAAACAAAAUAAAGUGGCAAAUUUCAAUACUCACCAAUAGUACGGUUAUGAAUUUACAUUUUAACCCAAGAAUAUUAUAUAAAAAAAAAUUGUCUGGAAAAUAGUUUUUAACUUUCUGAGUGUAAAGAUCCUUAGUCCUUGCGACGUAAUAUAUUGGUUAGUUGCAUAUCAAACAAUACGGAUAGACAAUUUGGAUGAUGAGGCAUGAAAUUUUGAUAAAUUACUAUUAUUAGUGUUUCAAUACCCCUGGCGACUAAGAAAUGUUCAAUAUUUUCCUUCAUUUCAGUAAGCAAAACACCAAUUCAAUUCCAAGAAUACGUUAUCAAACCCAAAGCUGCACACUGGUCUAAACCACAGUUGAUAGAAUGUGAAGAUUUUAUGGUUUUUGUUCAUUCACAAAGCAUUAUCCAACCCAACUUCUACUGUUUUCGAAAAUAAAAAUACUUAUAUUCAUAAACAUGUAAACAUCUCUCGGUUUAUUUAGAUAGUCGCUAUGUUUAGCAUGAAAGAAAUGCAAGUCGUAUGACAUUAUUAUUUGGAAACCGUUGAACACAAAAAGUGGGGACUCUCAUGCGACCAGGAGGAAACUAGAGCACAUAGUAAACAGAAAUUAAAAUCACAACCAAAAGGCUGUUUUAUAUACUAAUCCAAGAUUCCAGCCUUCUUAUAGCUCUCAAUGGAAUCCACAAGAGUUUCUUCCAAUGGCCGAUAACUCCACCCCAGCCUUUGUAAUUUCUCUGAACUAAUCGUAUCUUCCUCCCCUCCCUCACUAAAGCUGCCAUUGCACAAGUGAUUGAGGAUCACAAAGAAGAAAAUCAUACAUGAAAAAUCCCAAGCCAUGUAUAAUAAUGAUGAUGAAGUAACAUACAAAUUCCUAAAGCGUUAGACUAGAAGAUGCUACAUAUUCUGCUGCAGCAAGAGAUGUACCUUUUAGGAUAAUUGUAUUGAGGAAACAUACUUCUCAACUUGUCAACAAGAUCAUGUGCCUUCAGCCUCUGGCUUCUCAUACACCAGAAGCAGUGCCUGAGCUAUAUCGCGCACAUCAACUAUCUUUUGAAGUUUGUUUUCCAGAGAGUCGUAUCCCUCUGCACAUCAACGCAUUGCAGUGGUGUAAACCAAACAGAUUCAUAAUAGAAAAAGAAUGUCACAAGAAAAGAUAUCAUGUGUUUCACUUUAAACCAUAUUUUAAUGUCUAUUGAAAGACCAUGGUUGGAAGACAAGAAAACUAGAAUAAUGCCCUAGCUCCAGCAACAAUGGACUCCAAUCCAGCACCACAAAUUUAAGAUUAAAAUCUGAUAAGCGUGUAAAUUAAGCUCCAAGACACUAAUUUAUAAAUUGCAAGGCCACAAGGGCUUAAUGAAUCUAUGGCUAAAGAAGUAGCAGAGUAACAAUCCAGAAUAUCAAGUAAUUUCAUAGAACAAAUUUCGAGGUUAUGAAUUGCUUGAAUCUAAAACCUUCAGAAGUAUCAUUGACAUUAAGCUCAUGCAAACCCGUUGCACAAAGCCGAGCAACUAGUUUUAUGGUUCGCUUAGUUAAAAUAAAAGUGUUGAUGGGCCGGGUCAGGUGGGUUCAGGCCGAGGUUAAGCAUAAUAUUAACAUAUUUUAUAUUUUUCCAAGUCCAGCUCAGCCUGAAAUAUAAGUUUAAAAUUUUAUUCAAACCCAUCCAUAUUUGCAAUAGAUUAACUCAAGCUCAUUUUAAGUCUGCCAAUACUAUUUUUUAAUCUUUUAAAAAAAAUUAUAUUACAUUAUGUUAAUCUUUAAUGAUUUUAUAUAUUUUUAUUUAUUGAAAUUUUUUAUAUAGUCAUUUUAAUAUUAUUUUAAUAUUUACAUUACAAUGGUAUUAUAUAUUUUGUAUAUGUUUAAUUUUUUAAUGUAUUUUAAAUUAUAUAAUAUAAAAAAAUAACAUAAUAUAAAAUAUCAUAAACUUAAAAACGAAUCGAGUCGAGUCAUACUUAAACUUUAAAUGUUUAAGCCCAAAUUUUACCUAUGUUUUAAAUAAGUCUAAUCUUAUUACCUAAAUUUAUUUCUUAAAUUUAAUAUUUUAUCUAAAUCUUGGUAGCUUUUGGAGCACGAAACUUGAACAAGCAUAUGUAGGAGUUGAGACUACCUUUUAAAAGAUUAAAGAGAACCUUGCUACUAGCAUUGAUGGUGGACUGCAGAAGUGGCCCCCAUUGAGAGUAGGACAAACAGUAACAACGUCAAGUCCAGGCCUUUAUGCAAACUCAAAAGCCUCAAUCUCUGCUUCUGUCUUUGAAAGGCAAUCCCAAUUCUGGCACAAACAAUUAAACAAAGCAAUUUGCUCAUUAACAAUGAAAAAGGAUAUUAGGAAAUUUAGAAUUUUGCAGUGAGUCAUAUACCUUUGUUGCUGCGCAGUAUUCCUUGUCAGACCGGCAAGUGUGGAAAAUGUUCUCAAUAUAAAAUUGUUCUCUCAUAUAAAAUCAAAAGCUUACAAACUAUUUAUAGGCUAUAGUUUACCAUUUAAAAUAACAAAAAUUGAAAAUAUUAAAAUCUAAUAAUAACCAUAAACCAAUGACUCUUGACCUUUCAUUUUCCUAAACAAAAAACUACUAAUUUAAACCCAUUAAAAAACAAUAUAACUCUAGACCUUUCAACUCUUGACCUUUCACUUACAUGACUCUUAACUUUCAUUUAAGUUUAUUUAACAAAACUCCCCUGUAAACUUAAAUGCUUCUGCCAUCCUUCAUGCCGAUUAAUUUCUUGUAGUUGUCGAAGAGUAUCAUCAGUAGCGGUUUUGUAAAGAUAUCCGCGACUUGGUCCCGACUUGCCACGUGCACUAAUUUCACACUUCCUUCCUUUACAUGAUCUCGGAUGAAAUGAAAACGAAUGUCAAUGUGUUUGCUUCUCUCAUGAUUCACUGGGUUCCUUGCCAACUCAAUCGCUGAUUUAUUGUCAACUCGUAUCUCAGUUGCACCAAGUUGUUGUUGCUCCAACUCACCCAACAAAUUUCUGAGCCAUAUAGCGUGACACACACACCAAGAUGCUGCCACAUAUUCAGCUUCACAUGUCGAUAGUGUCACGAUUGGUUGCUUCUUUGAAAGCCAAGCAAAUGCUGUGUUACCCAUAAAGAACACAUAUCCCGAUGUACUUUUCCGAUCAUCUAAGUCUCCGCACCAAUCACUGUCGGAAUACCCAAUCAACUUGUAAUCUUCCAUAUUUGAAUAAAAUAACCCGUGUGACACCGUUCCUUGAAUGUACCGUAGGAUUCGCUUCAACGCCUUCCAAUGUGAAUAAACCGGCUCCUCCAUGAACCGACUUACAAUGCCAACACUUAGCGAAAUGUCAGGCCUUGUGCAAGUGAGAUAGCGAAGGCUUCCCACCAAACUUCGGUAUUUACUUGCGUCGACUCGUUCUCCUCCAUCGAAUUUCGAGAGUUUUACACCUGGUUCCAUUGGUGUUGAUACCGAGUUGCAAUGUGUCAUCUUGUACUUCUUCAAAAUUUCCUUUGCAUAUGCCUCCUGUGACACAAAAAUACCUGUCCUUUCUUGUCGAACCUCCAAACCAAGGAAAAAUUUCAUUAAACCCAAAUCUGUCAUCUCGAAUUCUUGUGUCAUUUUGCUCUUAAAAUCCAGUAUCAUCUUACCAUUGUUCCCCAUAAAAAUGAGGUCAUCGACAUAAAGAGCAACAAAUAACAUAUUACCUCCAUUCUUCUUCACGUAGAGGGCAUGUUCAUAAGGACAUUGUUUGAACCCAUUCUCCUUGAAGUAUGUAUCGAUACGAGUAUUCCAUGCCCGCGGUGCUUGCUUCAACCUGUAAAGUGCCUUCUUUAAUUUCAGCACCUUUUUCUCCUCUCCAUUUUUCAUGUACUCGGGUGGUUGUUCGAUGUAGACUUCUUCUUCGAGCACACCAUUCAAGAAUGCCGACUUGACAUCCAUUUGAAAUAUUGGCCAUUUAAAUUGUGCCGCUUGUGCAAUGAGCAGCCGGAUUGUCUCCAUUCUUAUAACAGGAGCAAAUACCUCAUCAUAAUCGAUCCCCUCCUUUUGCUUAUAUCCCUUUGCAACAAGUCGCGCCUUGUACCGUUCUAACUCGCCUUGAGCAUUCAUCUUUCUUUUGAACACCCACUUCACACCAAUGGGUUGACUUCCUUUCGGCAAUUCUGUUAACUCCCAUGUGUUGUUGCGGUCAAUUGCUUUAAUCUCCUCAUCCAUAGCAGUUUGCCACUUCUUGUCCCGUGCAGCCUCUUCAAAACUUAUAAUCUCGGAAUCUGCCAAAAGACAUACAAUAUGUACCUCAUUUGUUGAAUCAUACAAAUCUUGCAAACUUCGCAUUUUUGGUUGUUGCGGUUCAUCUUCAUCAUCGGUAGUUUCAGGAUUUGUCGGUAUGAUUGUUGGUGUAGCGAUUGAUGAUCCUCCAUCUUUGGUGAUAACCUCCGUUGAGUUAUUCCAAUCCCACUCGCUUGCUUCAUUGAAUUGUACAUCACGACUUACCACAACCUUCUUACUUAUCGGGUCGAGUAGCUUGUAUCCUUUUGUUUUCUCAUCAUACCCAAUAAAAAUAAACAUUUUGCUUUUGUCUUCGAGCUUCGUUCUUCGCUGAUCCGGCACAUGUGCAUAGGCCUCACUACCGAAUACUUUAAGAUGAGAAAUUGAUGGUUUUUGUCUGCUCCAAGCUUCUUGUGGUGUUUGAUCAUCCAACUUCGCAUGUGGACAUCGAUUUUGCACAUAGAUGGCACAUUGCACGGCUUCCGCCCAAAAUUCCUUCGGCAUCUUCUUGCUCUUGAGCAUUGAUCGAACCAUGUCGAGAAUAGUCCGAUUUUUCCUCUCGGCCACACCAUUUUGUUGGGGAGAGUACGGUGCGGUUAGGAAUCGUCUUAUGCCUUGCUCCUCACAAUACUCCUUGAAAGCCGUCGAAGUAUACUCGCCACCUCUAUCAGAUCGUACAGAUUUGAUGUGUCUACCAGUUGUUUUUUCCACCAUCACUUUGAACUUUUUGAACACCUCUAAUGCCUCGGAUUUUUCUUUAAGAAAAUAAACCCAAGUUUUUCGUGAGAAAUCAUCGAUAAAAGAAAUGAAAUACCUUUUACCGCUAAAAGAUUCAGGGGUGAUUGGUCCACAUAUGUCGGUAUGAAUCAAUUCGAGAAGUUGCUUAGCCUGAUAUUCUGCCUUAUUUUGAAACGAAGUUCUCGCAUGCUUACCGAGCACACAUUCUUCACAAAAUUUUCCCUCAUAGUCCAUGUCUGGUAGCCCAUGCACCAAAUUCUUCUUUGCCAACUUGUUUAGACCACCAUAAUGUAGAUGGCCAAAACGGAGAUGCCAUAGCAACGCCUUGUCUUCAACAUCAACUCGCAAACAUUUUCCUCGAACACUUCUCAGAUUCAACCUGAACAUGCGAUUUCUCUCCAUUUCAACUCGAGCGACCAAACACCCUUCCUUAUCUUUCAAGUGUAACACCCGAUCUUUCAUAAGUACCGAAUAACCUUUUUCCAUAGUUGCCCCAUACUCAAAAUGUUGCUCUUGAGGUCUGGUACGUAAUACACAUCAUGGAUUGACCCAAUUAACCCAUCAUUUUGUAAAUAACAAAUGGUACCUUGGCCUUUUACCUCAACCUUCGACGCAUCUCCAAAUGACACAUGUCCCGUUUCAACCUUUUGCAUCUCUUUGAAUAGGUGCUUGAGCCCACACAUAUGGUUGCUUGCACCCGUGUCAAGGUACCACACCAUGUUGUUGUUGGUGUUGACUUCGUUGUGUGCCAUCAAGAGAAAACCUUCUUUUGCCUCCUCAUUUUUCGUGGUUAGGUUGGUUGUCUCUUCCACCUUUUUCGAGAAGCGACAUUCUUUCGCGAAGUGUCCCGCCUUACCACAAUUGUAACACUUAUCAGAGUUACAAUCCUUCGCAUAGUGACCAUAUUUGCCACACUUGUAGCACUCGACAUUGGAAUAAUUCGACCAUCCGCCUCUUCCACGACCACGUCUUCUUCCCCGUCAGUUUUGUUGGUUUGAAUGCUCCUUCUCUUCAUAAUUCCCUUCUUGACCACGACCUUUUCCACCACGACCAUUUCCUCGAUCUCCACGACCACGACCUCUACCUCGAAAGCUUUGAGAAUAGAGAACCUUUUCGUCUUUGAUUGAUGCCUUGGUUUGAAGUGCUUGCUCGAGUGUCUCAUCUUUCUUCUUCUUCUUACGUUGUUCAUGUGCCUCGAGAGAACCGGCGAGUUCAUCGACUGUAAGCGUUGCUAGAUCUUUUGACUCUUCUAUGGCACAUACGACAUUUUCGAAACUGUCAGUUAACGAUCUCAAAAUCUUCUCCACAACUCGUGCAUCAGUUAACGCUUCUCCGUUUCGGUUGAGUUGGUUCACCACGGUUUGAACACGCGUGAUGUAGUCGGAGACACCUUCUGAUUCCUUCAUCUUCAUGCCUUCCAGCUCGCCACGAAGAGUUUGAAGUCGGACUUGUUUAACUCGGUCGGCUCCUUUGUACACCUUUGCUAAAAUGUCCCACGCUUCUUUUGAAGUUGUCGCACUUGCAAUCUUCUCAAAGCCCGACUCAUCAACGGCUCGAAAUAACAUGUACAAUGCCGCCUUAUCUUUCGACCGCAUUUCUUUCA